GCCGUGCCGCCGCCCACUAGUAUAUUUUUAGUAAAUGCUUAGUUGAACUAGUUGAAUUAAUAGAACUAGUUUAUUUUUAGUAAGAAAAUUUAGGUAUAUGAGAUUAUUUGAACUAAUUAAAAUUUAGGUAUAUGAGCUUAUUUGAAUUAAUAGAACUAGUUUAUUUUUAGUAAAUGCUUAGUUGAACUAGUUGAAUUAAUAGAACUAGUUUAUUUUUAGCAAGAAAAUUUAGGUAUAUGAGAUUAUUUGAACUAAAAUUUAGGUAUAUGAGAUUAUUUGAAUUAAUAUAACUAGUUUAUUUUUAGUAAAUGCUUAGUUGAACUAGUUGAAUUAAUAUAACUAGUUUAUUUUUAGUAAAUGCUUAGUUGAACUAGUUGAAUUAAUAGAACUAGUUUAUUUUUAGUAAGAAAAUUUAGGUAUAUGAGAUUAUUUGAACUAAUUAAAAUUUAGGUAUAUGAGAUUGUUUGAAUUAAUAUAACUAGUUUAUUUUUAGUAUAUGCUUAGUUGAAUUAGUUGAAUUAGUAAGUGUUUAAUGUUUCGCCUAUAUGAACAUAGGAAAUGUCAUCUGACGAUGGAAAAAAAAUUCAUUAUGUGCGAAUACUGUGAAGACCAACGCGGCCAGUGCGACAGAAAUUUCCUUGUUGAUGAUAGGCGAUUCAGCUUCAAGUUGGAUGAGACCUUCGAAUUCAAUACAGUAAGUCACAAUGACAAGUCUGUUUUCGUAAUUAAGCAUGACUUAUAUAUGCUUCAUUUUCCUGACUUAUAAUUUUUAAUUUUCACUAUUCUACUAGCGCAUCCCCUGCCAUGCAAGAAUUUUUGUCUUGGAUAAGAUAGGUUUCAAUGACAUGGAAACUAUGGUGGUAAAGAGAAUUUACCUGAAAACUGAGCAUGGUUAUACUUUCAACGUCAAAGAAUACAAUGCACACACGUACACCUAUUUUGAAUGCAAAACUUGGCAAGCACUAUGCAAGACUUAUGCAUUUGAGCCUGGUAUGGUUAUCACCUUUGAUAUUCGUCCGAAAGAUGAUAUUGAAGGUAAUAGAGACAUAUGGGUCGAUGUGCAGAUGCCUCCAAUUCUACCAUUAUGUGAGUUCUUCUCUACUAUAUUUUUGUCUUUGAUAUUGCUUAUUCAAAAAUAAUUGACAACUAAUUUCUAUUGACAGUUUAUCUCCAUUCAAGCAAACAUGUCCGGCGCUUGGUAGACAGGACCCACUACUGUCCCAGAGCUGAACUAAACUGCGAGGAGAUAAGUCAUUAUGUUUCAUGGCUUGAGGAUCUUCAUACUGUCAAGGCAAAUUUUCUUCCUGCACUUAGAAAUGUUAGUACUCAAAACGUGCGACCAAUAGUGAUGGUAUUGAACUACGGUCACAUCUAUUUAGGAAUGAUGGUAAGAUUUUUACUAUUUGUCCUCAGUGCAUCUUUUGCAUACAUAAUUUUUUUGCUAAACUUUCAUUGCUAAGUAUAUUAAUUAAGUACUAUAUGAUGUUCUUCAACAGGGACUCCCGAUGACAGUUGUGCCUCAGGGGAUCGAGACUAAAGGUCGCACGUCAAUUGUUAGCUUACGGCCAAGAUAUCCUGCAUUGCACAUGAAUGCAUUCAGGAUUUCUAGAAGCGAUGAAUGCUUAAUAGUGAAAGAUUGGAGGAAGAUUGUUAACGAUCCAGAGAAGUACUAGGGGGCAGCAAUGAGAAGCGCAGCCCACGAUUAGGAAACAGGUUCAUCUGCAUGCUCUAGUAUGAUGAAUCAGGAGAGCUAUACAUGUUCUAUGCUAUUUUACCAGAGAGAGAGAGUAGCUAGCAGGAGUGAUUUAGCUAGUUCAUGCUGCUCUUAGUACUUGUCCUUUCAUGUCCGUAUUCUUCAUUCUGAACUUAAUCUCAAAGAGUGAUUUGCUUUUGUGGUGUUAUAUAUGAACGCUUAUAAUAUCAUGACAAUCAUGUUGAACUCGAUGAUAUUUUUGCUUCUGGUACAAGUGAAUGUUUCUUCUUUAAGCUACUGUUGGUGGUGAUUAGAUAGCGGUAAUGACUAUGAUGAUUAAAUAGUGAUAAUGACGACUACGAUGAUUUUUAGCUAGCUAGCUCUAGAGUAUGUUGAUGAUAUGAUGCAAGAGUUUUUAUAUUAAUAUGAUGAUGAUGAUGAGUUAUUAUAUCAUUUAAUGAAAGAAACCACAGAUUAGUUUCAGCUGGAUGGAUCCUACCUAAGUGAUCAACUAUAUAUAUGCCAUAUCCAUAUAUAUUAUACUUGAUCACCUAAUUAGGUGAUCAAUAAUAAUAUCAAUAUGGCAUAUACUUGAUCACUUAGCUAGCUAGCUAGAUCCUCCAGUCGAAACUAAUCUGUGGUACUUUCACCUAAUGAUUUAACAACUCAUUAUAAUGUAAAACAAUCAGUAAAUUAAAUUGAAAACACAAAACUAAAGGAAAAUAAAUAAAAAACACCCAAACAUUUAGUACCGGUUGGUGUUACCAACCGGUACUAAAGCCCUACGCGCACCCGGGCCUGGCUCGUGCCACUUGUUUGCACUUUAGCGCCGGUUCGUGAUGAACCGAUACUAAAGGGGGGACCUUUAGUCCCCACUCUUUAGUGCCGGUUGGCGAACCAGCACUAAAGGCCGUCACGAACCGACACUAAAGGCCGGUUCUGCACUAGUGCUGGCGGGGGCCAUCAUCAUCCCCGCGAUCUUCACCAACACCUCCGCCAUCUUCACCAACAAUUCCAUCACCUUCCCCCAUCUAUAUUCAGCGGUCCACUCUCCCGCAACCCAUUGUGCCCUCUACUUAAACAUGGUGCUUUAUGCUUCAUAUUAUUAUCCAAUGAUGUGUUGCCAUCCUACGAUGUCUGAGUAGAUUUUCGUUGUCCUACCGGUGAUUGAUGAAUUGCUAUGAUUGGCUUGAGUUGCAUGUUUUAUUAUUGGUGUUGUCCUAUUGUGCCCUCUGUGUCGCGCAAGUGUGAGGGAUUCCCGUUGUAGGGUUUGCAAUAUGUUCAUGAUUUGCUUAUGGUGGGUGGCGUGAGUGACAUAAGCACAGACCCGAGUAAGUAGGUUUUUUGCGUAUGGGAUAAAGGGGACUUGAUACUUUAAUGCUAUGGUUGGGUUUUACCUUAAUGAUCUUUAGUAGUUGCGGAUGCUUGCUAGAGUUCCAAUCAUAAGUGCAUAUGAUCCAAGAAGAGAAAGUAUGUUAGCUUAUGCCUCUCCCUCAAAUAGAAUUGCAAUAGUGAUUACCGGUCUGCUUAAGGACAAUUUCAGAACUCCUACCUCCACUUCUCCACACUCGUUAUAUUUACUUUAUUGCUUCUUUAUCUAAACAGCCCCUAAUUUUGUUUACGUGUUCUUUAUUAUCUUGCAAACCUAUCCUAUCACACAUACAAAGUACUUCUAGUUUCAUACUUGUUGUAGGUAAAGCGAACACUAAGCGUGCGUAUAGUCGUAUCAGUGGCAGAUAGGGCCUGAGAGAAUUUUUGUUCUACCUUUAGCUCCUCGUUGGGUUCGACACUCUUGCUUAUCGAAAGAGACUACAACUAUCCUGUAUACUUGUGGGUUAUCAAGACCUUUUUCUGGCGCCGUUGCCGGGGAGCAUAGCGUGGGGUGAAUUUUCUCGUGUGUGCUUGUUUGCUUUCUCACUAAGUAAUUUUUAUUUGCUGUUCUAAGUUGUUCUCUAUCUUUAGUUAUGGAUAUGGAACAUGAAAUACGAAAAAAAAUUAGGUGUACUUGCUACUCGUGGAGAUGGAGAACCUCCUAAAACCCUCGAUGCUCGUUAUGGGAGACACGUUGGAUCAACAUGAAUACUUUAGGGAUUAUCGCUUGACACAAAAAGGGAAACUAUUAUGGGAUCAAAUUUCUAUGUUGCGUUGGUAUGCUCGUCAACUAUGCUUGAUAUAUGAUUAUACUUGUUGCUCUAGGAUGAAGGCUCCACACCUUCCCUUUUCAUGCAAAUUCAAUGAUAAUAAAACCUUAGCUUCUUAUGCUAAUGGUGUAUAUGAUUACUAUGAUGUGGAACAAAUAAAAGAAUUUGUUGCUUUUAUGGGUGCUUAUGAGAUUGAAUCUAUGUUUAAAGAGUUUGAUGAUUUAGUUUAUAGACUUGAAAAUUUUGCUAUACUUAAAUAUUGUUAUAAGAAUUAUGAAUACAAUUACAAUAUUGAUGCAUUUAUUGAGAAAGUCUCGGUUGUCCAAGAAGAGACUAAUAUUUUGCAGGAGUCUAUGGAAGAAGAAAUUGAUGAAACUAUGAGCACAUUGGAUGAAAAAAAUGACGAGGAGAGCGAAGAACAAAAGGAGGAAGAGCGGAUUAGCUACCCGUGCCCACCUUCUAAUGAGAGUAACUCUUCAACUCAUACAUUGUUUAAUUUCCCUUCGUGCUUACUGAAGGAUGAUUGCUAUGAUGAUUGUUAUGAUCCCGUUGAUUCUCUUGAAUUACCCCUUUUUGAUGAUGCUUGCUAUUCUCGUGGCCAAGAUGCCAAUAUGAAUUAUGCUUAUGGAGAUAAACUUGCUAUAGUUCCUUAUGUUAAACAUGAAAUUGUUGGCAAUGUGGAUACCUUUGCUUGGACUCAAUAAGCACCUCACUGAUAUAAUAAACCGACCGUUGAACCGGAUGCUUUUUGCCAGCCUCCUUGCGCUCCAUCACAAUGGCCACACAGACAGCCUGUGUGUUAGCAGCCACAUAUAAUAAUAAUGGCUCCUUAUCAAUUGGAGCAGCAAGAAUUGACGGCUCAGCUAGCUGUUUCUUCAAAUCUUCAAAGGUGGCGUUGGCAGCGUCACUCCAGAUGAAGUCAUCUGUCUUCUUCAUCAUUUGAUACAGUGGUAUGGCCUUCUCACCUAACCGGCUUAAAGCAGCAAUACGACCCGCCAAACAUUGAACAUCAUUGAUGCACGUUGGCUUAGCCAGAGAGGUGAUUGCCUUGAUCUUCUCUGGGUUAGCCUCGAUGCCCCUGUUAGAAACCAGAAAACCCAAAAGCUUGCAUGCAGGCACGCCAAAAUCACACUUGGCCGGGUUAAGCAUCAUCUUGUAGACCCAAAGAUUGUCAAAGGUCUCUUUCAGAUCAUUUAUCAAGGUUUUCUUCUCUCCGGAUUUCACCACAAUGUCGUCCACAUAAGCAUGAACAUUGCGCCCAAUUUGAUUAUGAAGACAAUUUUGUACACACCGCUGGUAAGUCGCCUGGGCACUCUUGAGCCCAAAAGGCAUAGACACAUAGAAGAAGGCUCCAAACGGAGUAAUGAAUGCUAUCUUCUCCUAGUCCUUAACUGCCAUCUUGAUGUGACGAUAACGAGAAGAAGCAUCCAAAAAUAUCGAACGCUCACAACUCGUCGUAGCAUCAAUAAUUUGAUCAAUACGAGGGAGAGCAAAAGGAUCAGCCGGACAAGCUUUGUCUAAAUCCGUAUAAUCCACACACAUACGCCAAGUGCUAUUUUUCUUAAGCACAAGCAUCGGGUUAGCCAACCACUUUGGAUGAAAAACUUCAAUAAUGAACUCGGCCACCGAGAGUCGGGCUACUUCCUCACCAAUGGCUUUACGCCUCUCCUCAUUGAAUCACUGAAGAAACUGCUUGACCGGCUUAAACUUUGGAUCAAUAUUAAGAGUGUGCUCAGCGAGUUCACUCGGUACACCCGGCAUGUAAGAAGGCUUCCAUGCAAAGAUGUCCCCGUUCUCACGGAUGAACUCGAUGAGCGCGCUUUCCUAUUUGGGAUCCAGAUUGGCACUGAUACUGAACUGCUUAGAUGAAUCGCUUGGAACAAAGUCAACAAGUUUAGUAUCAUCGGUCGACUUAAACUUCAUUACCGGUUCAUGCUCUAUGGUUGGCUUUUUCAAAGACGUCAUAUCUGUCGGGUCAACAUUGUCCUUGUAGAACUUCAAUUCUUCUGUCGCACAAACAGAUUCAGCAUAAGCGGCAUCACCUUCCUCACAUUCCAAGGCUAUCUUCCUACUCCCAUGCACUGUGAUGGUGCCUUUAUGACCCGACAUCGUGAGCUACAAAUAAACGUAACACGGCCUCGCCAUGAACUUGGCAUAAGCCGGCCGCCCAAAGAGGGCAUGAUACGGGCUUCUGAUUUUGACCACCUCAAAGGUUAGCUUCUCCGCCCUAGAAUCAUGCUCAUCUCCAAAGGCCACUUCCAGCUCAAUCUUACCCACUGGGUAUGCCAACUUACCAGGAACCACUCCAUGAAAAAUAGUGUUGGAAGUCUUAGGAUUUUUGUCAGUCAAACCCAUGUGGCGGAAGGUCUCAUAAGAAAGGAUAUUAAUGAUGCUGCCUCCGUCCAUGAGCACUUUAGUGAACUUUUAUCCACCAACCUGAGGAGCUACCACCAAAGCCAAGUGUCCCGGAUUAUCAACCCGGGGAGGGUGAUCCUCCCUAUUCCAUAGAAUAGGCUGCUUAGACCAUCUCAAAUAACGAGGAACUGCAGGCUCAAUAGCGUUCACAGCCCUCCUAUGAAGCUUCUGGUAUCAUUUACACAAACUGGUGGUAAGCACAUGAUAUUGCCCACUAUUCACUUAUACGUCUCCAACGUAUCUAUAAUUUAUGAAGCAUUCAUGCUAUUUUAUUAUAUGUUUUGAAUGAUUACGGGCUUUAUUAUACACUUUUAUAUUACUUUUGGGACUGACCUACUAACCGAAGGCCCAGCCCAUAUUGUUGUUUUCUUGCCUAUUUCAGUGUUUCGAAGAAAAGGAAUAUCAAAUGAAGUCCAAACGGAAUGAAACCUGCAUAGAAGUUAAUUUUGGAACAGAAGCAAUCCCGGGAACUUGGAGUGCAAACCAGGGAAGCGUCAAGGAGGCCACGAGAUAGGGGGGCGUGCCCACCCCCCCUCGGCACGCCCUCCACCCUCGUGGGCCCCUCGAGGCUCCCCCGACCGACUUCUUUCGCAUAUAUAUUCCCAUAUACCCUAAAAACAUUGAAGACGAAGAUAGGUCGGGAGUUCCGCCGCCGCAAGCCUCUGUAGCCACCAAAAACCUCUCGGGAGCCCGUUCCGGCACCCUACCGGAGGGGGAAUCCAUCACCAGUGGACAUCUUCAUCAUCCCAGCGCUCUCCAUGACGAGGAGUGAGUAGUUCACUCUUGGGGCUGAGGGUAUGUACCAGUAGCUAUGUGUUUGAUCUCUCUCUCGUGUUCUCUCUAUGGCACGAUCUUGAUGUAUCGCGAGCUUUGCUAUUAUAGUUGGAUCUUAUGAUGUUUCUCCCCCUCUACUCUCUUGUGAUGAAUUGAGUUUUCCCUUUGAAGGUAUCUUAUCGGAUUGAGUCUUUAAGGAUUUGAGAACACUUGAUGUAUGUCUUGCCGUGCUUAUCUGUGGUGACAAUGGGAUAUUCACGUGAUCCACUUGAUGUAUGUUUUGGUGAUCAACUUGCGGGUUCCGCCCAUCAACCUAUGCAUAGGGGUUGGGACACGUUUUCGUCUUGACUCUCCGGUAGAAACUUUGGGGCACUCUUUGAAGUACUUUGUGUUGGUUGAAUAGAUGAAACUAAGAUUGUGUGAUGCAUAUCGUAUAAUCAUGCCCAUGGAUACUUGAGGUGACAUUGGAGUAUCUAGGUGACAUUAGGGUUUUGGUUGAUAUGUGUAUUAAGGUGUUAUUCUAGUAUGAACUCUAUGAUAGAUUGUACGGAAAGAAUAGCUUCGUGUUAUUUUACUAUGGACUCUUGAAUAGAUCGUGCAGAAAGGAUAACUUUGAGGUGGUUUCGUACCCUACCAUAAUCUCUUCGUUUGUUCUCCGAUAUUAGUGACUUUGGAGUGACUCUUUUUUGCAUGUUGAGGGAUAGUUAUAUGAUCCAAGUAUGUUAUUAUUGCUGAGAGAACUUGCACUAGUGAAAGUAUGAACCUUAGGCAUUGUUUCCUACCAUUGCAAUACCGUUUACGCUCACUUUUAUCAUUAGUUACCUUGCUGUUUUUAUAUUUUCAGAUUACAAAAACCUAUAUCUACCAUCCAUAUUGCACUUGUAUCACCAUCUCUUCGCCGAACUAGUGCACAUAUACAAUUUACCAUUGUAUUGGGUGUGUUGGGGACACAAGAGACUCUUUGUUAUUUGGUUGCAGGGUUGCUUGAGAGAGACCAUCUUCAUCAUACGCCUCCCACUGAUUGAUAAACUUUAGGUCAUCCACUUGAGGGAUAUUUGCUACUGUCCUACAAACCUCUGCACUUGGAGGCCCAACAACGUCUAUAAGAAGAAGGUUGUGUAGUAGACAUCAAGCUCUUUUCUGGCGCCAUUGCCCGGGAGGUGAGUGCUUGAAGGUAUAUAUUUAGAUCUUGCAAUCGAAUCUUUUUGUUUCUUGUUUUAUCACUAGUUUAGUUUAUAAAAGAAAACUACAAAAAAUGGAGUUAAGUUUGUCUCAUACGCUUUACCUUUUUAAUAUCUUUUGUGAGUAUGAUGAAAAGGAAAAUUGUUCUCAAGUGCUAGAAAAAGAAUGCAUUAAAAUGUUUGGUACUAGAUCUUUGUAUGAUGAGCAUGAUUGCAAUGAUGUUAGUAUGAAUUCCUUGAAUAUCCAUGAUGCUAAUGAUAUGAAAAGCCACAAGCUUGGGAAGCUAUGUUUAAUGAAGAUGAUAUUUUUAGUCCCCCAAGUUUUGAUGUGCAAAUUUAUUAUGAUGAAAGUGGAUUUGGAGAGGCCAUGAAUUUAUUUAGUGAUGAAUCCACUAUUUCGUAAGAGGUUCCAAUUGAUUAUGAGAAUAAAUUUGCUUAUGUGGAGAGUAGUAAAAUUUCUAUGCUUCUAGAUCAUGAACAGAAUGCGUUGGGUGCUGGUUAUUGUUGAAUUCAUUCAUGAUGCUACUGAAAAUUAUUAUGAGGGAGGAACAUAUGCUUGUAGGAAUUGCAAUAAUGUCAAGUUUCCUCUCUAUGUGUUGAAAAUCUUGAAGCUAUGCUUGUUUUGCCUUCCUAUGCUAGUUGAUAAUUGUUCCCAUAAAUUGUUUGCUCACAAAAUCCCUAUGCAUAGGAAGUGUGUUAGGCUUAAAUGGGCUAGUCAUGUGCUUCAUGAUGCUCCCGUUAUGUUUCAAUUCUUAUCUUUUAUGUGAGCAUCAUUGUCAUCAUCAUGCCUGGCUAUAAAGGCAUUAAAGAAAAGCUCUUGUUAGGAGACAACCCAAUAUUUACCCUUACUGUUUUUGUGUGUUCACAUGAUUAUGCUACUGUAGUAAUCAUGUUUUAUAGCUUUUGUUUCAAUAAAAUGCCAAGUAAGACCUUUAGGAUAGCUUACGGUGAUAGAUGUGUUGAUCCUGCUGAAAAUCAGAAACUUUUGCACCCAGUAAAUUAGUUUUGAUAAUUCACAGAAACGUUCUUCUGAUCUAAUUCUUUUUUCUCUGAUUGGUACACAUAUUUAUUAGGUCGUCCUAAUUUUCUAGGAUGUUUGGAGUUCCAGAAGUAUACGUUUGGUACAGAUUACUACAGACUGUUCUGUUUUUGACAGAUUCUGUUUUCUAUGUGUUGUUUGCUUAUUUUGAUGAAUUUAUGAGUAGUAUCGGAGGGUAUGAACCAUAGAGAAGUUGGAAUACAGUAGAUAUUACACCAAUAUUAAUUUAGAAUCAGUUCAUUAUAGUACCUAAGUGGUGGGUUUAUUUUCUUAUACUAACGGAGCUUACGUGUUUUCUGUUGAGUUUUGUGUUGUGAAGUUUUCAUGUUUUGGGUAAAGAUUCGAUGGACUAUGGAAUAAGGAGUGGCAAGAGCCUAACUUGGGGAUGCCCAAGGCACCCCAAGGUAAAAUUCAAGGACAACCAAGAGCCUAAGCUUGGGGAUGCCCCGGAUGGCAUCCUCUCUUUCGUCUUCGUCUAUCGGUAACUUUACUUGAAGCUAUAUUUUUAUUCACCACAUGAUAUGUGUUUUGCUUGGAGCGUCAUUUUCUUUUGUUAGUAUUUACUUUCUGUUAGUUAGAAUAUUUUUUUGCAUCUUAGGUUUCAAUAAAAAUGUCAAGGAUAGCCUUUACCAUGCUUAUUUUGCUAGUAUACAUGUUGCUGUUUGAAAACAGAAAGUUUACCGCUGUUGCAAAAAUUCCCUAGAAAAGUCAGAGAAUGGUAUAAUGUUGAAACUUUUUGCAUACUGAUCUCUAAUAAAUCUUAUACAGUAACAUAUUUUUCUCAUAAUUUUUGGAGUUAGGGAAGUAUGAUGAAUCUUGCAUUCUUUACAGACUAUACUGUUUUGGCAGAUUGCUGUUAUGGUUGCAUUGUUUGCAUAUGUUUGCUUGUUUAAUGAUUCUAUUUGAGGAUAGGAGUAUUAGAUAUGCAGAGGCAUUUAAUAUGCAAUGUUUAAUAAUAAUUUUAGUGAUUUGUUACAGUAGAAAAUGAUAAGGUUUUGCAUUGGUUUAUACUAACCUAUCUCAUGAGUUCUUGUUGAGUUUGGUGUGGAUGAAGCUUUUGAUAAAAAGAGAAACCAUGAUAUGAGAGGAAUUAAGGAGACGCAAAAGUUCAAGCUUCGGGAUGCCCAAGGCACCCAAAGAUAAUAUUUCAGGACGUCUCAAGCAUCUAAGCUUGGGGAUGCCCCGGUAGGCAUCCCACCUCUCUUCUUCAGCCACUAUCGGUUAGUAUUGGUUGAACCUAAGUUUUUGCUUCUUCACAUGAGUUGUGCUAUCCUUGCAGUGUCAUUUUAUCUUGCUUUGCUUGCUGUUUUAAUGAAAUACCAAGAUCUGAAAUUCUUAAAUGAGAGAGAGUCUUCACAUAGUUACAUAAUUAUUUAACUACUCAUUGAUCUUCACUUAUAUCUUUUUGGAGUAGUUUGUCAUUUACUCGUGUGCUUCACUUAUAUCCUAUGAGUAAAUGGUUGAAUGAGUUGAAUGUCAUAAAUCUGAAAUUAUAUAUGUCUCAUUUGCUUAUCCCAUGGGGAGUAAUGACUUCACAUCUAAUAAGUAGAGGUUGUAAAUUUAUUGAAGGUUAGCAAGCAUUGUAUUGGUCAUUUGAACAAUUCAUGAAAGAAUAUUGAAGGAAGAGAGAUUUCACUUAUAAAUAUAAUAUCCUAGACAUCUUUUAUAAUUGUGAGCACUCAUUAAGUAUGACAUGCUAAAGAUUUGAUGUUGGACAAGGAAGACAACGUAAUGGGUUAUGUUUUCUCACAUCUCAGUUAAAGUAUAUUGUCAUGGAUCAUUCAAACAUGUUGAGCUUGUCUUUCCCCCUCAUGCUAGCCAAAAUUCCUUGCACCAAGUAGAGAUGCUACUUGUGCUUCCAAAUAUCCUUAAACCCAGUUUUGCCAUGAGAGUCCACCGUACCUACCUAUGGAUUGAGUAAGGUCCUUCAAGUAAGUUGUCAUCGGUGCAAGCAAUAAAAAAUGUUCUCUAAUUAUGUAUGAUAUAUUAGUGUGAAGAAAAUAAGCUUUAUACGAUCUUGUUAUGGAAGCAAUAAAAGCGACGGACUGCAUAAUAAAGGUCCUUAUACAAGUGGCAAUAUAAAGUGACAUUCUUUUGCAUUAAGAUUUUGUGCAUCCAACCAUAAAAGCGCAUGACAACCUCUGCUUCCCUCUGCGAAGGGCCUAUCUUUUACUUUAUGUCUUUACAUUAUGCAAGAGUCAAGGUGAUCUUCACCUUUCCCUUUUUAAUUGUAUGCUUUGGCAAGCACCUCGUCUUGGAAAGAUNNNNNNNNNNNNNNNNNNNNNNNNNNNNNNNNNNNNNNNNNNNNNNNNNNNNNNNNNNNNNNNNNNNNNNNNNNNNNNNNNNNNNNNNNNNNNNNNNNNNNNNNNNNNNNNNNNNNNNNNNNNNNNNNNNNNNNNNNNNNNNNNNNNNNNNNNNNNNNNNNNNNNNNNNNNNNNNNNNNNNNNNNNNNNNNNNNNNNNNNNNNNNNNNNNNNNNNNNNNNNNNNNNNNNNNNNNNNNNNNNNNNNNNNNNNNNNNNNNNNNNNNNNNNNNNNNNNNNNNNNNNNNNNNNNNNNNNNNNNNNNNNNNNNNNNNNNNNNNNNNNNNNNNNNNNNNNNNNNNNNNNNNNNNNNNNNNNNNNNNNNNNNNNNNNNNNNNNNNNNNNNNNNNNNNNNNNNNNNNNNNNUCCAAUUGGAUGUAAGUUAGCAUGAACUAUUAUUGUUGACAUCACCCAAAGGUGAAUACGUUGGGAGGGAACACUAUAAGCCCCUAUCUUUCUCAGUGUCCGAUUAAAACUCCAUAACCAUUAGUAUUGUGUGAGUGUUAGCAAUCAUGGAAGACUAUAUGAUAGUUGAGUGUGUGGAGUUUGCUAAAUCAAAGCUCUGACAUAGACCCUUCCUGAAAAUAAGAUGAAUUGUAAUUGUUUGAUGACUACGAAUGAAGUUUGCUAGUUUUCAAGAAAAGUUUAUGGUCUAUAUGCUUUAACAUGUGAAUAGCUUGUUACUUGAUCUUGGGAAGUUUUAUGAGAUGAACUACUGUUAUGACAUAUAAUAAUGCUAGAAAAGGUGAUUGAAAUUAUCAUUGAUCAAACUUGUGCACCUUCUAGCAUUCACACUUCAUAAAUUCUUUCUUUUAUCAUUUACCUACUCGAGGACGAGCAGGAAUUAAGCUUGGGGAUGCUGAUACGUCUCCAACGUAUCUAUAAUUUAUGAAGCAUUAAUGCUAUUUUAUUAUCUGUUUUGAGUGAUUACGGUCUUUAUUAUACACUUUUAUAUUACUUUUGGGACUAACGUACUAACCGGAGGCCCAUCCCAUAUUGCUGUUUUCUUGCAUAUUUCAGUGUUUCGAAGAAAAGGAAUAUCAAAUGGAGUCCAAACGGAAUGAAACCUUCGGAAAAGUUAUUUUUGGAACAGAAGCAAUCCCGGGAACUUGGAGUGCAAGCCAGCGAAGCAUCAAGGAGGCCACGAGAUAGGGGGGCGCGCCCACCCCCUGGGCGCGCCCUCCACCCUCAUGGGCCCCUCGAGGCUCCCCCGACCGACUUCUUUCGCCUAUAUAUUCCCAUAUACCCUAAAACAUCGAAGACGAAGAUAGAUCGGGAGUUCCGCCGCAGCAAGCCUCUGUAGCCACCAAAAACCUCUUGGGAGCCUGUUCCGGCACCCUGCCGGAGGGGGAAUCCAUCGCCGGUGGCCAUCUUCAUCAUCUCGACGCUCUCCAUGACGAGGAGAUUGUAGUUCACCCUCGGGGUUGAGGGUAUGUACCAGUAGCUAUGUGUUUGAUCUCUCUCUCUCUCUCUCAUGUUCUCUCUAUGGCACGAUCUUGAUGUAUCGCGAGCUUUGCUAUUAUAGUUGGAUCUUAUGAUGUUUCUCCCCCUCUACUCUCUUGUGACGAAUUGAGUUUUCCCGUUGAAGUUAUCUUAUCGGAUUGAGUCUUUAAGGAUUUGAGAACACUUUAUGUAUGUCUUGCCGUGCUUAUCUGUGGUGACAAGGGGAUAUUCACAUGAUCCACUUGAUGAAUGUUUGGUGAUCAACUUGCGGGUUCCGCCCAUGAACCUAUGCAUAGGGGUUGGUACACGUUUUCGUCUUGACUCUCCGGUAGAAACUUUGGGGCACUCUUUGAAGUACUUUGUGUUGGUUGAAUAGAUGAAACUGAGAUUGUGUGAUGCAUAUCAUAUAAUCAUCCCCAUGGAUACUUGAGGUGACAUUGGAGUAUCUAGGUGACAUCAGGGUUUUGGUUGAUUUGUGUCUUAAGGUGUUAUUCUAGUAUGAACUCUAUGAUAGAUUGUACGGAAAGAAUAGCUUCGUGUUAUUUUACUAUGGACUCUUGAAUAGAUCGUGCAGAAAGGAUAACUUUGAGGUGGUUUCGUACCCUACCAUAAUCUCUUCGUUUGUUAUCCGCUAUUAGUGGCUUUGGAGUGACUCUUUGUUGCAUGUUGGGGGAUAGUUAUAUGAUCCAAGUAUGUUAUUAUUGUUGAGAGAACUUGCACUAGUGAAAGUAUGAACCUUAGGCCUUGUUUCCUACCAUUGCAAUAUCGUUUACGCUCACUUUUAUCAUUAGUUACCUUGCUGUUUUUAUAUUUUCAGAUCACAGAAACCUAUAUCUACCAUCCAUAUUGCACUUAUAUCACCAUCUCUUCGCUGAACUAGUGCACCUAUACAAUUUACCAUUGUAUUGGGUGUGUUGGGGACACAAGAGACUCUUUGUUAUUUGGUUGCAGGGUUGCUUGAGAGAGACCAUCUUCAUCCUACGCCUCCCACGGAUUCAUAAACCUUAGGUCAUCCACUUGAGGGAAAUUUGCUACUGUCCUACAAACCUCUGCACUUGGAGGCCCAACAACGUCUACAAUAAGAAGGUUGUGUAGUAGACAUCAUUCGGCUGCUUUGGAUGGCUCUGGUAUCCACCCUGCUACUGUUGCUGCUGACCACCCUGGCCAGAUUGUUGGUUAUGACCACCUUGAUUACCCUGAGAGUUGUGAAAAUUCGAAUUUGAACCGCUGCCCGGGCCAUGAAAAGCGCCGCCACCAGAGCCGCCGCCCUGUCCGUGGUUACUGUCGAACAUGUUGGAAUUCUUGAAAGCCUUCAUGAUCGUACAGUCCUUCCAUAAAUGAGUGGCCGGCUUCUGCUGAGUGUCAUGCCUUGGACAGGGCUCAUUUAGUAACUGCUCAAGCAUUGGGCUUGACCCGCCGGACCGGGGAGGUGGUCUCCCCUUACGUCGUUGAUUGUUACCCUGCGCAUUGGUGUUAUCCACAAAUUCCAAGCUACCAUCAGCCUUACGUUUAUUACCUCCUUGAUUUGCCGGGUUAUGCUGAGGGCCCUUGUCAUUGCCAUUCUUCUUUCCCCUCCCUAUCUUGUCAUCAUCAGACUCAGGAUCCUUGGUACUGUCAAAGUCGGCGUACUUGACCAGAGCCGCCAUCAGCGUACCCAUAUCAUUGCAAUCACGCUUGAGCCGCCCAAGCUUCAUCUGCAGAGGCUGAAAACGGCAAUUUUUCUCCAACAUUAAGACUAAAGAGCCGGCAUCCAUCUUAUCAGACGAAUGUAUUAUGGCCUUGACCCGGCGCACCCAAUGGGUUGUGGACUCGCCCUCCUCCUACAUGCAAUUAGUCAAGUCUACAAUUAACAUGGGCUGCUUGCAUGUAUCCUUGAAGUUCUGAAUGAACCGGGCUUUUAACUCUGGCCAUGAACUGAUGGAAUUAGGCGGUAGCCCCUUCAACCAAGUGCGGCCAGUCCCAUCCAACAUCAUGGUGAAGUACUUGGCCAUCGCAGCGUCACUGACCUCCAGUAACUCCAUAGCCAUCUCGUAGCUUUCAAUCCAUGCCCCAGGCUGUAAAUCGGCUGUAUAAAUAGGCACCUUCCUAGGUCCCUUGAAAUCGUUGGGCAAAUGCUCGUUACACAGAGCCGGCACCAGACAGGGGAGACCUCUGGUCCUGGUGGCCAUGCCUGCCUCAAUAAAGGUUGUCAGAUAAACCGGAAAAGGCUGGUAAGCCGUCAGUUGAGCCGCCUACUCAGCCGCCUGCUCAGCCGCCCGCUUAGCCUCUUGACGUAUUAUGUCCUGAUCCACCAAGUUAAAGGCUCCAUUGCGCAUCGGGUCAUGCCCUCCUGGCUGGUUACGGCGCCGGGCAUUGCUUGAAACGGCCGCCGAGUCCAUGUGCCUGCUAUAACUCGGGAUCCAGCUUGGAUGAGGGGUUGAAUGAAUCAUGUCCCGGCUAUAUGAGUACGCCUCCUACUGUGCUAAGGCCGUCUGAAGAAGUUCUCUAACCCGGCGGGUUUCAACCAUCAUCAGAGAGUCGCCCUCCAUAGGGAGAGCCACCAGUCGUGCUGCCGACACGAUCAUGUUCUCCAACGGGUUAGAAUAAUGACCCGAUGGUGUCGGUACAUACCGAGGUGGAGCAGUAUUCAUACGGAGAGGCCCCAUCACCUGUGGUUAAACCGGCGUCCGCACCCCGGGUGCCGCAACCCGGUCUAUCUCUGUGGAUUACUGGGCCCUGCACCGGGUGUAUGGAAGAGGUUUCGAGGAUCAUAAACCGGAGGGAGCCAAGACUGAGUCUUCUGGUAUCUUCUCCUCAUGACCUCAUUGGACGCGUUCUGAUCCAUCGUGAGCCGGAAAGUCUGCGCCUGAAUCUGCUGAGAGUGAGCGUCUAGAGUCGCCCGGUCUGCUGUCAUCCUGACAUCUUCCGCUGCCAGAUCUUCCUUAGCCUGCACUAUAUCUAGUUUCAACUGCUCCACUUUCGCAUUAUGUUGAGCUUGAUCCGCCGGGUUGACCACGGCGGUUAACAGAGCGGUCAUUGCUACCUCUUGAGCACUGCAUUGGAUUUCCCCGAAGAGGAGAGGAUGAUGCAGUAAAGUAGCGUAAGUAUUUCCCUCAGUUUUUGAGAACCAAGGUAUGAAUCCAGUAGGAGACCACGCACAAGUCCCUCGUACCUACACAAAACGAUAGCAACUCGCAACCAACGCUUAGGGGUUGUCAAUCCCUUCACGGUCACUUACGAGAGUGAUAUCUGAUAGAGAUAAUAUUUUUGGUAUUUUUGAUAGAUAGAUGCAAAGUAAAAUGUAAAGGCAAAGUAAAAACAAAGCAAGUAAAUAAAGUGAUAUAGAGUGAUAUGAUGAGAAUAGACCCGGGGGCCAUAGGUUUCACUAGUGGCUUCUCUCGAGAGCAUAAGUAUUCUACGGUGGGUGAACAAAUUACUAUUGAGCAAUUGACAGAAUUGAGCAUAGUUAUGAGCAUAUCUAGGUAAUGAUCAUGUAUAUAGGCAUCACGUCCAAAACAAGUAGAUAAAAAUGAUUCUGCAUCUACUACUAUUACUCCACUCAUCGACCGCUAUCCAGCAUGCAUCUAGAGUAUUAAGUAAAAAUAGAGUAACGCCGUAAGCAAGAUGACAUGAUGUAGAGGGAUAAAUUCAUGCAAUAUGAUAAAAACCCCAUCUUGUUAUCCUCGAUGGCAAUAAUACAAUACGUGCCUUGCAACCCCUUCUGUCACUGGGUAAGGACACCGCAAGAUCGGAUCCAAAGCUAAGCACUUCUCCCAUUGCAAGAACUACCAAUCUAGUUGGCCAAACCAAAAAGGAUAAUUCGAAGAGACUUGCAAAGAUAACUCAAUCAUACAUAAAAUAUUUCAGAGAAGAAUCAAAUAUUUUCCAUAGAUAAUACUGGAUCAUAAACCCACAAUUCAUCUGUCUCAACAAACACACCGCAAAAAGAAGAUUACAUCGAAUAUAUCUCCACAAGAGAGGGGGAGAACAUUGUAUUGAGAUCCAAAAAUAGAGAAGAAGCCAUCUAGCUACUAGCUAUGGACCCGAAGGUCUGAAGUAAACUACUCACACUUCAUCGAAGGGGCUAUGUUGUUGAUGUAGAAGCCCUCCGUGGUAGAUGCCCCCUCCGGCGGAGCUCCGGAACAGGCCCCAAAAUGGGUUCUCGUGGAUACAGAAGGUUGCGGUGGUGGAAUUAGUUUUUUUUUUGCUCCUUUUCUGAUCGUUCGGGGAUACGUAGGUAUAUAUAGGAGGAAGGAGUACGUCGGUGGAGCGUCGAGGGGCCCACGAGGUAGGGGGGCGCGCCCUCCACCCUCAUGACCACCUCUGGCACUGCUUGGAGUAGGGUCCAAGUCGCCUGGAUCACGUUCGGCUGGAAAAUCACGAUCCCGAAGGUUUCAUUCCGUUUGGACUCCGUUUGAUAUUUUGUUUCUUCGAAAUACUGAAAAAGGCAAAAACAGCAAUUCUGGGCUAGGCCUCCGGUUAAUAGGUUAGUCCCAAAAGUAAUAUAAAAGUGGAAAAUAAAGCCCAAUAUAGUCCAAAACAGUAGAUAAAGUAGCAUGGAGCAAUCAAAAAUUAUAGAUACGUUGGAGACGUAUCAAGCAUCCCAAAGCUUAAUUCCUGCUCGUCCUCGAGUAGGUAAAUGAUAAAAAAGAAUUUUUGAUGCAGAGUGAUACUUUGGCAUAAUUUCAAUGUAGAACUUCUUAAUUGUGGCAUGAAUAUUCAGAUCCGAAAGAUUCAAGACAAAAGUUCAUAUUGACACAAAAAUAAUAAUGCUUCAAGCAUACUAAUCAAAGCAAUCAUGUCUUCUCAAAAUAACAUGGCAAAAGAAAGUUCAUCCCUACAAAAUCAUAUAGUUAGGCUAUGCUUCAUUUUCUUCACACAAAGAUGUUCCCAACUUCUAUACCCCCGAUGACAAGCCAAGCAAUUGUUUCAUACUUAAAUAAUCUCAAACUUUUUCAACCUUCACGCAAUACAUGAGCGUGAGCCAUGGAUAUAGCACUAUGGGUGGAAUAGAAUAUGAUGAUGGGGAUUGUGUGGAGAAGACAAAAAAGGAGAAAGUCUAACGUUGACGAGGCUAAUCAACGGGCUAUGGAGAUGCCCAUCCAUUGAUGUCAACAUGAGGAGUACGGAUUGACAUGCAACGGGUGCACUAUAGCUAUGAAUGCUCAACAACAGAAAACUAGUGGGUGUGCAUCCAACUUGCUUGCUCAUGAAGACCUAGGGCAUUUGAGGAAGCCCAUCGUAGGAAUAUACAAGCCAAGUUCUGUAAUGAAAAAUUCCCACUAGUAUAAAAAAGACAAUUUACGAGACUCACUACAUGAAGAACAAGGUGCUACUUUGAAGCACAAUAUAUGAGACUCAAUACAUGAAGAACAAGGUGCUACUUUGAAGCACAAGUGUGGAAAAAUAGAUAGUAGCAUUGCCCUCUUUUUUUAUUAUUAAUUUUUAUUUUUUAUUUUUUUGGGCCUUUCUUUUUUUGGCCUUUCUCAUUUUUAUUUUGGGCAAUGCUCUAAUAAUGAUGAUCAUCACACUUCUAUUGAUUACAACAUAAGGAUUACAACUCGAAACUUAGAACAAGAUAUGACUCUAUAUGAAUGCCUCUGGUGGUGUACCGGGAUGGUGCAAUGAAUCAAGAGUGACAUGUAUGAAAAUAAUGCAUGGUGGCUUUGCCACAAAUACGAUGUCAACUACAUGAUCAUGCAAUGGCAAUAUGACAAAAGUAAUGUAUGUCAUGAUGAUGAUGAUGGAAGUUGCAUGGCAAUAUAUCUCGGAAUGGCUAUGGAAAUGCCAUAAUAGGUAGGUAUGGUGGCUGUUUUGAGGAAGAUAUAAGGAGGUUUAUGUGUGAUAGAGCGUAUCGUAUCACGAGGUCUCGAUGCACCGGCGAAGUUUGCACCAACUCUCAAGGUGAGAAAGGGCAAUGCACGGUACCGAAGAGGCUAGCAAUGGCGGAAAGGUGAGAGUGCGUAUAAUCCAUGGACUCAACAUUAGUCAAAAGAACUCAUAUACUUAUUGCAAAAAUUUAGAAGUCAUCAAAAAUUCAAGUACUACGCGCAUACUCCUAGGGGGAUAGAUUGGUAGGAAAAGAUCAUUGCUCGUCCCCGACCGCCACUCAUAAGGAUGCACAAGCCAGGUACACUUCAUGUUUCAAAUUUGUUACACAACUGUAACCAUACGUGCAUGCUACAGGAUUUGCAAACUUCAACACAAGUAUUUCUCAAAUUCAUAAUCACCCAACUAGCACGACUUUCAUAUUAUCACCUCCAUUCUCAAAACAAUUAUCAAGCAUCAAACUUAUCUUAGUAUUCAAUUCACUCAAAAGAAAGAUUCACAUAUCUUGAACACCAAGUAUAUUAACAUUAAGCAAAUUACCAUGCUAUUAACGACUCUCAAAAUAAUCUAAGUGAAGCAUGAGAGAUCAAUAGUUUCUUUAAAACAAAUCCACCACCGUGCUCUAAAAUAUAUAAGUGAAGCACUAGAGCAAAAAUUAUCAUGCUCAAAAGAUAUAAGUGAAGUACUAUGAGCAAAACUAUCAAGCUCAAAAGAUAUAAGUGAAGCACAUAGAGUAUUCUAACAAAUUCCAAUUCAUGUAUGGCUCUCUCAAAAGGUGUGUACAUCAAGGAUAAUUGUGGUAAACUAACAAGCAAAGACGCAAAUAAUACAAGACGCUCCAAGCAAAACACAUAUCAUGUUGGUGAAUAAAAAUAUAGCUCCAAGUAAAUUACCGAUGGAAGUGGACGAAAGAGGGGAUGCCUUUCGGGGCAUCCCCAAGAUUUGACUUUUUAGUGUCCUUGGAUUAUCUUGGGGGUGCCAUGGGCAUCCCCCAAGCUUAGGCUCUUUCCACUCCUUGUUCCAUAAUCCAUCAAAAGAAUUCACCCAAAACUUGAAAACUUCACAACACAAAACUCAACAGAAAUCUCGUGAGCUCCGUUAGAGAAAGAAAACAAAAGAAUACUUCAAGGUACUGUAAUGAACUCAUUCUUUAUUUAUAUUGGUGUUAAACCUACUGUAUUCCAACUUCUCUAUGGUUUAUAAACUAAUUUACUAGCCAUAGAUUCAUCAAAAUAAGCAAACAACACACGAAAAACAGAAUCUGUCAAAAACAGAACAGUCUGUAGCAAUCUGUAACUAACACAAACUUCUGGAACUCUAAAAAUUCUACCAAAAUAGGAAGUCCUGGAAAAUGUGUUUAUUGAACAGCAGCAAAAAGAAUCAACGCAAAAGCACGUUCCUGUGAUUUAACAAAAUUAUAUUCGUGCGUGCAAAGUUUCUGUUUUUUCAGCAGAAACAAAUCAACUAUCAUCGUAGGUUAUCCUAUAGGUUCUACUUGGCACAAACACUAAUUAAAACAUAAAACGACAUCCAAACAGAAGGUAGAUGGAUUAUUUAUUCCUAAACAGAAGCAAAAACAAAAAGCACAAAAUAAAAUUGGGUUGCCUCCCAACAAGCGCUAUCGUUUAACGCCCCUAGCUAGGCAUAAAAGCAAGGAUAGAUCUAAUGAGUGCCAUAAUAAUAAGAUAGAUCUUGAAAACUCAUAUCAUAUUCUCUAUGUUCGGUGGCAAGUUUUCUUUGAGGCAAGCAAAAGUAAUCAAAAGGGCUAAAUUUAGUGGGACAGAUGUCCCCAAGAUCAAUCAUAGGAGGAACGGGUUCCUCCCUUAGCCCUUCAUAGUGCACAACUAUUUCGUCACUAAAAGCAUUCUUCUGGCAAAAUUUUGUGAGCCUAUACUCAAGAGAGUAGCCUAGCUCAUUGUUUCGAAGAGCAAAAUCAUUAUUGAGUUCAUUGAUGCAAUCAACCAAGACAUUAAUAGGAACCUUUUUUCUAAGGUUUUCAUUAAAAGCAACGUAGUCCGAAGAUUGAAAACGCCUAAAUUCCUCUUGAUCAUAGAGGAUUGCCUCUAUGGGAGGACGACCGGCGUCCACCCUAUAGUGUGCAAAGAUUUCCUUGGCUUCUCUUAUGAUAAAUCUAAAUUCGUGAGCCAAGAAGAUAGUAACAGCACACUUAACAGGAGAAUGCUCAAUUAUUAGAGAAUUCUAAAAAAAUCUUUGGAUGCAAGGGUGCAUAUGCAUAAAUUGUCUUUCAAGUUCGACCACAAGCAUAGCAAUAGUGUCCGCAAGACUACUAGUUCUGUGAAGAAUAGAGCAACCCAUGGAAGGUAAAGCACCGGCACAAGUAAAAAAAUCUUGAAUAACACCCUUGCCAAUGAUGUUACCACUACCGAUUCGAAACUUUGUAGUAUGCAAGAUAGGAGGUUCAUCGGCCGGAGCCUCGAGAUUUUCUGUGUUGUCCAUAUCGACGAUAAUCUCCCCAAUUUCAGACAUAGAGGCAACAGGAGUAAGGCAGAAGAAAAGCAAACGAUAAAGAGAGCAGGAGAUUGGGAAAGAUAGGGCAAAUAAAAUGGCUACGGUGAAGUGGGGCAGAGGAAAAUGUGAGGCAAAUGGCAAAUAAUGUAAUGCGAGAGAUAGGGAUUGUGAUGGGUACUUGGUAUUGUUGACUUGCUUGCGUGAGCCUCCCCGGCAACGGUGCCAGAAAUUCUUCUUUCUACCUCUUGAGCACUGCGUUGGAUUUCCCCGAAGAGAAGAGGAUGAUGCAGUAAAGUAGCGGAAGUAUUUCCCUCAGUUUUUGAGAACCAAGGUAUCAAUCCAGUAGGAGACCACGCACAAGUCCCUCGUACCUACACAAAACGAUAGCAACUCGCAACCAAUGCUUAGGGGUUGUCAAUCCCUUCACGGUCACUUACGAGAGUGAGAUCUGAUAGAGAUAAUAUUUUUGGUAUUUUUGAUAGAUAGAUGCAAAGUAAAAAGUAAAGGCAAAGUAAAAACAAAGCAAGUAAAUAAAGUGAUAUAGAUUGAUAUGAUGAGAAUAGACCCGGGGGCCAUAGGUUUCACUAGUGGCUGCUCUCGAGAGCAUAAGUAUUCUACGAUGGGUCAACAAAUUACUGUUGAGCAAUUGACAGAAUUGAGCAUAGUUAUGAGCAUAUCUAGGCAAUGAUCAUGUAUAUAGGCAUCACGUCCAAAACAAGUAGAUCGAAACGAUUCUGCAUCUACUACUAUUACUCCACUCAUCGACCGCUAUCCAGCAUGCAUCUAGAGUAUUAAGUAAAAAUAGAGUAACGCCGUAAGCAAGAUGACAUGAUGUAGAGGUGUCGGGGGAAACUGAUCCACGAACACCUAUGGGGCCGGCGGACCGGGCCCCUUUCGGUUCGGCGGGGGGCGGAGGUCGCACAAAGAGCAGAUCGAGGCGAAGCACACGAGCAGUUUACCCAGCUUCGGAGCUCUCCGGAGAGAUAACACUCCUACUGCUGCUUGUAUGGUUGUAUUAUCUUGUGUUCUUGCUCUAGAGAGAGAGAGCGUAGUGUUUUCUGGGUUACGAAUGAGUCAAACCUCACGAACUAGUCGAACCCAACCCCCCCUAUGUUGCGCAUGGGCCUCCUUUUGUACGCUAAAGGGGUCACCGACAGGUGGCAACGCAGAGAAGGGUACAAAUGUAAAAAGUGAGGUGGUUGGUACAGUUACUUGUAUAGUGCACCCUACCUAACCCUGAUGGCAGGGGACAAGGGCAUUAAAUGCCCAUCUGAGUCGCCCAAACAGUGCAGAAAAGGACUGUUAGGGGCGCCACCGUUCGCCACGAUGGCGAUCUUGUCAGCUUCGCAUGCCACUGCGCACCGCUGGCUGCACAGCCUCCCGCCACGCGCGCCUGGAGAGGCCUCCAGGGCGACACAUUGGUGGAUGCGCUGGAGCGUGGGCACAGAGUGGCCGCCUGCCGCGGCAAGCGCCUUGCCGCUGUUGUUAUCUUGUCGGUUCCGGAAGCUUGUCGCUCGCCGGGCCUCGAUGUACCUUGGUUGGUCUUCCCGGCAAGCUCCUCUUGCCGGGGCCUUAUUGCCUUGCCGGAGCGCGUGGCGCGUCGCGGCAAGUUCCUUGGAGUGCCUUGGUUGGCCUUCCCGGCAAGCUCCUCUUGCCGGGGCCUUGUCUCCUGAGCUUAAACACUUUGUUCUUGAAUGGCUCCAAGGGAACCAUGGAGGAUCUUGGCGUUCUCCCGGCAAGCCUUGCCGCGGGGUGCCGCAACUGCCCGUGCACAAGUUCGGGGUACUAGGGUACCCCUAUUCUAGUACACCGACAGGAGCCCCCGGGCCUGGGCCAGACACGGUGCCAAGCGCUGUUGGGCCAGGCCCAAGACAGGGCACGGGCACACGCGGACUGGGCCAUGCCGAAUCUCGCUCCGUAUCCAACGCGCUCUCCCCUAACGGCACGCGUUGAAUGCGGCGUCGUGGGAGAGAUCGUGGGUGGUUCUUUAUUCGGAAGGGCGAAACGUUCGCCCCGUCCCUCUUUAUAAGCAAAGGAAACAGGGGCAGUUCGUUCCCCCUCGCUGGUUGCUACUACUCCAUCUUCACGAACCUCCGCCGCUCCCCCCUUCUUCUCGAAGCCAAGAGAGCAGCGCUCCGCCCCCCAUUGCCACCAGCAUCACCAACACCGUCGACCUCCCCCACCACCUCCGCCAUGGCUCCGAAAGCCGACAAGGGAAAGGGCGUGAAGUCGGCCGAGGCGCAGCGGCUCGCGGCGCUGCGGAAGGAGCGGGCGAUCUUCUCCCCCCAGCUCGGCGUGCAGGAGCUGAGGGAGUACUUCUACCUCUUUUGGGCGACGGAGACGCGGGCGCAUCCGCGCAUGAGGGUACUCCCGGCCGCUGCUUCGGAGCUGGCUCCAAACGGGUACCCAUUCUUCACACUGUUCUUCUAUUGCGGGCUCUGCCCGCCCUUCUCGGAGUUUUUCUGCGAUAUCAUGAACACCUACGGCUUCCGCCUCCUUGACUUCACCCCCAACACCGUUCUAACCAUGGCAGUUUUCGCACAUUUGUGCGAAAACUUUGUCGGAGUCCACCCCAAUGUUGCCCUUUUCCGCCACUUCUUCAUACCUCGGGUAGAGAGAGGAGAGCCGCUUGCCGGAGGGAUCGCCUGGAUCUCGAGAGUCGGCAAGAAGGAGGCGUACUUGGAGGGUGAGCUUUGCAGCAAGUGGGAUGAGUGGAGAGCGGAGUGGUGCUGGAUCGUCGAGGAGAAUCCGCAGCCCUUCACCGCCAUGCGCCAAACUCCAAUAGUGCGCGGCAAUGACUGGAGCAACGUGGCCCCGGAAGACGAGAGGCUGAAGAUCGCCAUUACUAGGAUCCUUCGCCUCAGGCUUGCCGGGCUCACUAUAGGCGCUGUAGGCGCAGAUUUCCUCCGCCGCCGCAUCGCCCCCCUACAGGAGAGGGGGAGGCCCGCCUGGGAAUUCAAGAACUCGACGGACAUCAUGAGGCUGCGGCCGGGCCUUAACUACAACUUCACCGUCUUGGAGUUGGAUGCAAUGCUCCUGGAGUUGUUCAAACGCGACCCCCAGCACCCAUUCACGCUGCCGAGGGGCGUCGUUCCAUUGUGCAACAAUUCUUCGCUUGACCGGAUCCGCGCCAUGAUGCCGUUGUGUGAUUCACACGGAAUCGUUCCAACUUGGCAAGAGCCUGCGGACGACGUCGUGCAAGCGUUCUUCGACAACUUGGAAGAAGUGCCGGUCCAUGCUGACGAGCAGAAGAGCCUCACCCGUGACACCACCGACGAGGAGCUGCAGUGCAUCGCCACUAGGGCGGAAGAGGUUGUGGCCGCAGCUGCCGCGGGCAUUUUCGGGUUCACUGUGGAGGAGGCGGAGGCGGCAGAAGCGGCAAACCUUGCCGAGCGCGCGGAGUUCAUUGGCGAGGAAGAGCCUGCCGAUUCUGAAGCCGAGCCGAGCGAGGCCGGCGAAGAAGAGCCCGAGCCUUCAGAAAGCUUGCCGUAGGCGGAGCCCCCGGUCCCGCCAAGGAGGCGUCUUCGCAGGGCCGCGGACGUAGUGGGGCGGCAGCCGGGUCAACAGCCGCCGAGCCGUGCGACACGCUCUACCGCGGCAAGCAAUGUUGCCGCGGGAGCGCCUCACGCAGCAGCGGCAACUGGAGCUGGAUCUUCCCGGGCCACCGCCACCGCCCCUGCCAAGCGGGCAAGGGAUCCUACUCCUCCGCCUCGCCGCACCAGAGGGGAGCCAGACUUCGAUCUUUCCGCGCUCAGCUCCGACGAGGAGGAAGAAGAGUAAGUUUCUUUGGUGCUCUUGUAGUUCUUCAAUUUUGCUGUUUUUAUCUUGUAUCUGACUUGCUUCAAUCUGGACUCCUUUCUUUUCAGGACGCUGGCCCAGAGAGCGGCGAAGAGGGCCAAGGCCGCGGUGAUUGUCAUCGAAGAUGACCCCACCAUGUCAGCAGGGGGUGGGUCCGAGACCACCUUGACGGACCCGGCAAUCACUCCUCAAAGCAGCCCCCAGCGCAGCCCCCAGCGUAAAUUCAUAGUUAGCUUUCUGCUGUCGGGCGCACAUGAGUGCUUCUUCCUUUGUUGAUAUCUUGCUUGUUGAUUUGUGUAGGAGCAGAUCAGCCACAUCAGGAGCGCCCGGAAGCUGGUCCCGAAGUGCCAUCUGCUUCGACUACGCCGCCAAGGGAGGGGUUCCCGGUAAGGGAGCGCUCUCCGGCAAGGGAGAACUCUCCGGCAAGGGGCAGCACCGUCGAUCCUGCGGCGGCCGAGACCGCAACUGCAGAUCUUGGCAUAGGUAAUUCACUUGUCCAAAAACUUUCCCUUGGGUUCUUCUUCUUCUGAUUUUCUUCUCUUGGAUUUUUGAUUGAUUUUUCUCCCUUCUUCGUUCUUCAGACCCAUCUGCGGCUGAGCCAAUGGAGACAGAGGGCGCCGGCGAGGAAGGGGCCGGUGCUGAUGAGGCCGCCGGCGAGGAGGCUGCCAAGGCUGCCGCCGCAGAAGCCGGUGAGGGGUCGGCCGAUUGCACUGACGACCCUGAGGCCGCAGGAGCGCCAGGCGGUGCGCCGACCGCCGAUCCCUCUGCUGCUUCUGCGGAGCCGGGCUCCGAGGAGCCCCAGCCCGGCGCCUACUUGAAGGCCGGCGACGGUAUCUUCAUCAAGCUACCCUGGGCGUCGAGCUCCAGGGCGCCGGUCGAGGGGGAAACUUUUGAUGGGGAGGUGCUCGCCUCUGCUGGCCUGUCGUUGGUCGACGCGCCCAGCAGCAGCAGUGGCGAGCCUGAGGAGGAGCAGCUGUUGCGGAAGCUGCUGUCACUCUACCGCGCCUGGCAAGCCAAGCUGGCUUCCCGGGAAGCGCUUGUCGCGAAGGCAGGAGUUGACAUGGAGAAGCGUGCGGAGGAGCUACGGGGCCACAAUCAAGAGGCUCUCCGGACCCUGGCACAGGAGCGGGAGCGACUCGACGAGGAGCGCACGGCCUUCCUUCUCGAGAAGGCCGAAGCUGAGGAGGAGCAAAGGUUGGCCGCCGAGAAGCAGUCUGCGCGAGAAGGCGAAUUGGUGCAGCGGAAGGCCAACCUCGACAGCUACGAGGAGGAGCUCGCCGAGCGCGAGCAAGCACUUGGCGGGGCACUCAAGGAGGCAAAGGACGCUGUCGCAAUCGCAGAGGCCGCCAAGAAAGAGCUGGAGGAGAAGGUGGCGCAGCUGGAGGCCAACAUUGGGAAGAGCGGCGAGGAGCUUGCCGCGCUUAAGCGUGAGCGUGAGAAGGAUGUUGCCGCCCACGGUGAGUUGCAAGGUCUUCUCGCUGAGAGGGGCAAGGAGCUCAGCGCCGCCAAGGAUUCCAAUGCGGACCUGGAGUUGAAGCUGGCCACGCUAAUGCAGAUGCUGGAGGCCGCCAAGGAGCGGGAGAAGACCUUGUCGGAGAAGGUCAAAGCUGACAAGGCGCUGCUGGAGAGCAUCGCAGUUACCCAGAACUCGUUCAGAGACACUGUGGAGCACUGGACUGAGGGUCUGGUGAAUAUUGCCGCAGUCAUCAACGAGGAGCUGGCGCAGCUGGGGAUGGAGGACUUUGGGUAUCCCUCUGACGAGAAUCUCCAACCCAGCGCCAAGCUCAGCUUGUUCUUCAAGGGCGUGGCGACGGCACUCUAGCGGCUCCGGGAGAGGAUCCCAAAGCAGCUGGCCGACGAGUCGUGCAAAAUCUGCGCCGGGGUUCUCCAGAAGGUGCUGAUGAAGGUGGCCUUCCGCAAUCCAGGCCUCAGCUUCACCAACGUCCUCAGGUCCUUGCCGCCAGACGCCGAUCGGGAUGCACUCAAGGCCCUUGUUGCACCCAUUGUGGACAAGGUGAGCGAGAUCAAGAGGGUUGAGGGCGACCGCGUAGACUAGGCCGCCCAUUUCUUCUUUUUCCCUUGUCGCUGCUAAUCAUGUUAUGAAAACAGUCUGUUAGAGCUGCGACAAGUUAUCUUGUAAUAUAACUUUAUUUCUGUUAUCAAUUGCUAUGUUAUUUCCUCUACUAGAUUCCUUCCUUUGUAAGCUUUUACCCUACGCUUCUAGGGAACUUGUCGGCGCAGGCGCCUGAGCCGCGAGCGCUGGGUGCGGAACGUCAGCAGCCUGCUGGCGGCGUUGCUUCCGACAAGAAACCUUGUCGCGACUAGAUGCAGCACACUUAAGUUGUUGAGCGGACUCGAAACAAAGUAAGGGCGCAACUAGCCACGAGUUGGUUCCUCCGCGCACAGGUUUUCCAUACAAAGCAGGGUCGUUCGAGGAAGAUAACUGAAAAAUUUAAAAACUGAUUGCUCAAACUUUGGCAACUUAGCUUUUCUGUCGUUUGCUUCCCGGCAAGGCAAAACUUUGCUUGAACGACGCCUGGUCCAUACCACAAUCUUCUCCUUCCCCCCGGCAAACUUGUGUGCGAGGGAACCUUCUUUUCCUUUGUUGAAAAGAAGAAAGAAGAGAAAAUAAUAAUAUGGAGCCCUUCGGCUCGUUAUUGCUUACCGGAUGUAGGUGCUGCACAAAGUGUCAGAUAACAAAUGCAAGAAAGAAACUAAUGCAUGAAAUGGACAAGUUGUGCGGAGCACAUGGGGUUCUAUUUAUGCACGGGAUCUGCGCCCGGCUUUGUACAAAGGAUUACAUGCAACAGCGGCAAGACUUGUACAAAAGGUGGUUGCCGGAACGGGGUUCCGGCAACCGCGCCCUACGGGAAAAACUUACGAAGAUGUGCUAUGUUCCAGGAGUUGCUCACCGGAAUGCCAUCUUCGGUCUCAAGGCGGACAGCGCCGGGCCUUGUGACUCGUCUCACCCGAUAAGGGCCUUCCCACUUCGGCGUCAACUUGUUGGAAUUCUUGGCGGACUGAACGCGCCGAAGAACAAGGUCGCCUUCCUCGAAGCUUCUGGCUUUAACUUUGCGGCUAUGGUAGCGGCGCAAAGCUUGCUGGUAUCGAGCAGCUCGUACAGCAGCCUAAAGACGAUCUUCCUCAAGGAGCAGCGCGUCGUCUUGUCGCGGCUGUUCUUGCUCAAGCUCAUCAUAAGCGAGCACUCGAGGCGAUCCGUAUACGUGUUCCGUGGGGAGAACUGCCUCUGCUCCAUAGACUAGAGCGAAAGGUGUCUGGCCAGUGGCUCGAUUUGGCGUCGUUCUGAUCGACCAAAGAACCACCGGCAGCUCCUCGAUCCAGUUUCUUCCGCACUUGCGCAGCCUAUCGAAAGUUCUGGUCUUGAGCCCGCGCAGCACUUCAGCAUUUGCCCUCUCUGCUUGACCGUUGCUUCUUGGAUGAGCAACAUAAGCGAAGCAGACCUUGGCGCCAAGGUCUUGGACGUAUUGCAUGAAGGUGCGGCUCGUGAAUUGCGUGUCGUUGUCGGUGAUGAUCCUGUUAGGGAUCCCGAAACGACAAACAAUUGACCUGAAGAACUUGACUGCUGACUGUGCUGUCACCUUCCUCACUGGCUGCACUUCCGGCCACUUUGUGAACUUGUCGAUUGCGACGUACAAGUACUCAAAGCCCCCGACAGCUCGGGGGAAGGGCCGGGGAUAUCGAGCCCCCAGACCGAAAAUGGCCAGGAUAAAGGGAUCGUCUGGAGAGCUUGAGCUGGCUGGUGUAUCUGUUUGGAGUGGAACUGGCACGCUUCACACUUGGUUACUUGUGCAGUUGCAUCCUGGAGGGCUGUCGGCCAAAAGAAACCUUGCCGGAAAGCUUUGCCGGCAAGUGCUCUUGCGCCAAUGUGGUGGCCACAUAUGCCUCCAUGUACCUCUGCCAACAGCUUUUGUCCAUCUUCCCGGCAAAUACACUUCAAUUUCACACCGUUGAGUCUUCUUCUGUACAGUAUGCUAUCGACAAACUGGUAAUACUUGACUGCCGGGCUACUUUUUCCGCUUCUUCUUGCUCUUCGGGAAGUUCUCCUGUCCGAAGGAAAUGGACAAUCUGUUGUGCCCAUGCUGGAGCUUGUGGCUCGACAACAAGGACUAAAGGCACAUCUGCUGUUGCGGGAACAUCCGCUUCUACGGCAAGGACUUGCGGCCCUGCCGGAGCUUGAUGUUCCCCGGCAAGUUUGCCGGAGCAAAACUUGUCGGGAGCGUCUGCUUCAACGGAACAAACCCCCUAGAGGUCGAUCUUGUCCGACGUCGGAGGGUAAUCUAGGAGCAGUUGAGCUCGCGCCAAAGCUUCUGCUGGAGUGGUGGGUGGCAGUGGCGGACGGCGCGAGGAGCGGGACGUGCUCGGACUUCUAACUAUGUUAGAAGGAGCAGUAUCCCGUCCAGGCGACCGUGCCCCGCUCGUGCCAGCACGCUGGCGUGCAUGCUGGUCUUGAGCGUCCCGAGAUCCACCAGCUUGGUCUUGGCCUAUCAUGCGUAUGGCACUGCGAGUGUCAUGACGCUGUUGGUCUUGCGCCUCCUGGGAGUGGUGCGGAACAUGUACAGUCGCCGAGGUUUGUGCAGCCUUGUCCUUGGAUCUGGCAGCAUCAUAAGCUUCCUCGUCGACGUCCAUUCUUCCGCUGGCCUCCAUUCCAUCACCCGUUUGCUCCAACGGUGGUGGAAUUGACGUGGACGGAGCGGCUGCCGCCGAAUUCUUCUUCUUCGGUGGCAUGUUGAUGAAGGAAAUGAAGAUCUAGCUCAUGUGAACACCGGAUCAGGUUCACACAAUCUCGACGCCCCCUACCUGGCGCGCCAUAGAUGUCGGGGGAAACUGAUCCACGAACACCUAUGGGGCCGCCAGACCGGGACCCUUUCGGUUCGGCGGGGGGCGGAGGUCGCACAAAGAGCAGAUCGAGGCGAAGCACACGAGCAGUUUACCCAGCUUCGGAGCUCUCUGGAGAGAUAACACUCCUACUGCUGCUUGUCUGGUUGUAUUAUCUUGUGUUCUUGCUCUAGAGAGAGAGCGUAGUGUUUUUUGGGUUACGAAUGAGUCGAACCUCGCGAACUAGUCGAACCCAACCCCCCUACAUUGCGCAUGGGCCUCCUUUUAUACGCUAAAGGGGUCAUCGACAGGUGGCAAUGCUCAGAAGGGUACAAAUGUAAAAAGUGAGGUGGUUGGUACAGUUACUUGUAUAGUGCACCCUACCUAACCCUGACGGCAGGGGACAAGGGCAUUAAAUGCCCAUCUGAGUCGCCCAAACAGUGCAGAAAAGGACCGUUAGGGGCGCCACCGUUCGCCACGAUGGCGAUCUUGUCAGCUUUGCAUGCCACUGCGCACCGCUGGCUGCACAGCCUCCCGCCACGCGCGCCUGGAGAGGCCUCUAGGGCGACACGUUGGUGGAUGCGCUGGAGCGUGGGGACAGAGUGGCUGCCUGCCGUGGCAAGCGCCUUGCCGCUGUUGUUAUCUUGUCGGGUCCGGAAGCUUGUCGCUCGCCGGGCCUCGAUGUACCUUGGUUGGUCUUCCCGGCAAGCUCCUCUUGCCGGGGCCUUGUUGCCUUGCCGGAGAGCGUGGCGCGUCGCGGCAAGUUCCUUGGAGUGCCUUGGUUGGCCUUCCCGGCAAGCUCCUCUUGCCGGGGCCUUGUCUCCUGAGCUUAAACACUUUGUUCUUGAAUGGCUCCAAGGGAACCAUGGAGGAUCUUGGCGUUCUCCCGGCAAGCCUUGCCGCGGGGUGCCGCAACUGCCCGUGCACAAGUUCGGGGUACUAGGGUACCCCUAUUCUAGUACACCGACAAGAGGGAUAAAUUCAUGCAAUAUGAUAAAAAGCCCAUCUUGUUAUCCUCGAUGGCAACAAUACAAUACGUGCCUUGCAACCCCUUAUGUCACUGCGUAAGGACACCGCAAGAUUGAACCCAAAGCUAAGCACUUCUCCCAUUGCAAGAACUACCAAUCUAGUUGGCCAAACCAAAAAGGAUAAUUCAAAGAGACUUGCAAAGAUAACUCAAUCAUACAUAAAAGAUAUCAGAGAAGAAUCAAAUUAUUUCCAUAGAUAAUAAUAGAUCAUAAACCCACAAUUCAUCGGUCUCAACAAACACACCGCAAAAAGAAGAUUACAUCGAAUAGAUCUCCACGAGAGAGGGGGAGAACAUUGUAUUGAGAUCCAAAAAUAGAGAAGAAGCCAUCUAGCUACUAGCUAUGGACUCGAAGGUCUGAAGUAAACUACUCACACUUCAUCGGAGGGGCUAUGGUGUUGAUGUAGAAGCCCUCCGUGGUAGAUGCCCCCUCCGGCGGAGCUCCGGAACAGGCCCCAAGAUAGGAUCUCGUGGAUACAGAAGGUUGCGGAGGUGGAAUUAGGUUUUUUUGCUCCUUUUCUGAUCGUUCGGGGUACGUCGGUGGAGCAUCGAGGGGCCCACGAGGUAGGGGGUGCGCCCUCCACCCUCGUGACCGCCUCUGGCACUGCUUGGAGUAGGGUCCAAGUCUCCUGGAUCACGUUCGGUUGGAAAAUCACGAUCCCGAAGGUUUCAUUCCAUUUGGACUCCGUUUGAUAACCUGUUUCUUCGAAAUACUGAAAAAGGCAAAAAACAACAAUUCUGGACUGGGCCUCCGGUUAAUAGGUUAGUCCCAAAAGUAAUAUAAAAGUGGAAAAUAAAGCCCAAUAUAGUCCAAAACAGUAGAUAAAGUAGCAUGGAGCAAUCAAAAAUUAUAGAUACGUUGGAGACGUAUCAGUUAUCUUAUCCGCGAGAUCCAUCAGCGCCUGAGCCGGCGAGCGCAAAGGGCCUCCUACCCCGGUUGCUGCUGACCUAAAGGUUAUUGCUGCCGCAGUUGUGGAGUCUUGAAUAGGUUGCGUGCCAUCCAUGAAGAUUCCGACCCAGCUCGGCGGCUCAAGGAGAUCUGGAAUACUGCUGCCAUCGAAACAGCCCCCAAGCCCACUGUCUUGUAGUUGAUACAACGAAUCUGUCUCGCCUCUGGAUGACUCACCAUCAGAAUAGAUGGUCGUCUCACCACCAUAUGCAGAUCCUUUAGAGAGUCCUCCGUGGAUGCAUCCCACGAAGGCACGCUUCACAGCAGGCAGAGCUCGGGCGGGUCUCGCACGCUGAGCCGUCUCGACGAGGUCGGUGCAGAUGUCCGGCUCAGGGUCCGGCUCACCGAUCUUGCCGAUGAAGAUGUGGAUUCCGCCGAAGGGGACCCGGUACCCGUACUCAAUUAAGCAGGCAUCGGGGCCCCAGCCCGCGUCAUCGAUGUAGAGCUUGCCGCGACGACUCUUGGUCAUCCGGCCAACAGCGUAUCCCUUGAUCCCUUCAAAGUUGCCCUUCAAAAACUCAAAUCCACCGUGCGCUGGCCCCACGGUGGGCUCCAACUGUCGAGGAAUUGUCACGUCAGAUGUCCUAGUGAAAGGACUUAGUCGUGGAGCCAUCACAACUAGGAAGCUUAAAGGGGUUAAUCGGGACAAAGGACACGAGGUUUAUACUGGUUCGGCCCCUUACGGCGAAGGUAAAAGCCUACGAUCCAGUUUUGAGUGGUAUUGCUUAUGACUCGAUAACUAGGGAGCGGAAUCGCUUAACCUAACUCUCGAUCUGAUGUUACCUAUCGUGAAUCGUUGUCGGGUCGUCCCUUUAUAUACAGAGGUCGACGCCCAGCGGCUCACAGAGUCCCGGCCGGCUCAUAAACAGUGUCUGGCUCAGUCUCUUAACUAUUCUUGCCUUACAAUACAAGUCACGUACAUAUGGCGGUUUAUCACUAUGGGCCUUAAGUCGUCUCUGGGCUUUGGGCACUUAAUAAACCGCCAUCUCCAACCUUGGUCUUGGGCUUCAAGAAUACUUGUAGGUAUAACCCGGCCCCUCCUGGGCGGGUCAUACCAAUAGUUAUAUCCCCAACACCUACCUAUGGAUUGAGUAAGAUCCUUCAAGUAAGUUGUCACCAGUGCAAGCAAUAAAAAUUGCUCUCUGAAUAUGUAUGAUCUAGUAGUGUGAAGAAAAUAAGCUUUAUACGAACUUGUGAUAUGGAAUAAAAAAAGCAACGGACUGCAUAAUAAAGGUCUUUAUCACAAGUGGUAAUAUAAAGUGACGGUCUAUUGCAUUAAGAUUUUGUGCAUCCAACCAUAAAAGCGCAUGGCAACCUCUACUUCCCUCUGUGAAGGGCAUAUCAUUUACUUUUAUCUUCUACCCUUAUACAAGAGUCUUGGUGAUCAUCACCUUUCCUUUUUACACUUUUUCCUUUGGCAAGCACUUUGUGUUGGAGCGAUCCGGAUAUAUAUAUAUCCACUUGGAUGUAGGUUUUCAUAAAGUAUUAUUGUUGACAUUACCCUUAAGGUAAAAGGUUGGGAGGCGAAACUAUAAGCCCCUAUCUUUCUUUGUAUCCGAUUAAAACUUUGAACCCAUAAAUAUCACAUGAGUGCUAGCAAUUGUGAAAGAUUAAAUGAUAGUUGAGUAUGUGGAAUUUGCUAAAUGAAAGCUCUUACAUAGACCCUUCCUGAAAAUAAGAUGAAUUGCAAUUGUUUGAUGACUGAGAACAUAGUUUGUUAGUUUUCAAGAAAGUUUAUGAUCUAUACUUUAACAUGUGAAUAGCUUGUUACUUGAUCAUGAGAAGUUUUAUGGGUUGAGCUACUGUUAUGAUAUAUAGUGAUGCUAGAAAAGGUGAGUGAAAUUAUCAUUGAUCAAACCUGUGCACUUGCUAGCAUUCACACUUCAUAAAUUAUUUAUUUUAUCAUUUACCUACUCGAGGACGAGCAGAAAUUAAGCUUGGGGAUGCUGAUACGUCUUCAACGUAUCUAUAAUUUAUGAAGUUUUCAUGCCAUGUUUAUAAUAUUUUUCCAUGAUUUUGGUAUGAUGUGACGCCCCCGAUUCAAUCAUACACUAAUCAUACACGCAAAUGUGUACGGUCAAGAUUAGGGACUCACGGAAGAUAUCACAACACAAAUCUAGACACAAAUAAAAUAAUACAAGCUUUAUAUUACAAGCUAGGGGCCUCGAGGGCUCGAAUACAAGCUCGAUACACAAGAGUCAAUGGAAGCAACAAUAUCUGAGUAUAGACAUAAGUUAAACAAGGAUGCCUUGAGAAGUCUAGCACAAAAGCAACAAUGGUCGAAGAGGCAAGGCCUCCUGCCUGGGACCUCCUAACUACUCCUGGUCGUCGGCGGUCUCCACGUAGUAGUAUCCGUCGGCGGUGGCAUCUGGUUCCAGGGAUCCACCAUCCGGUGGCAUCAACCGGAAAGAAGAAAGAAGGGGGAAAAGGGGUAUUAAAGCAACCGUGAGUACCCAUCCAAAGUACUCGCAAGCAUCAGAUCUAUACUAAGUAUGCAUUGUUAUCAAAUGAAAGGUUUGAAUCAAUGGACUGAACUGUAGAAUGCCAGAAUAGAGGGGUAAGGCCUAGCCUAUCGAAGACUAGCAUCUUCAAGCAGCUCCGAGCAUCUUGCAACAUGUAAGAGAGUAAAGAAAAGCAGUUUAAUUAACAAACAAGUUGUAACAUUAAUGCCCAGAGAUCCUUCCUCGACUCCCUGCGAGAAAGCAAUCUCGGAGCCACAUAUCUCAAGUAUCCAUUUGUAGUUGUAUAAGAUCAGGAUAUAAGUCUGAACCUCUGUUACCGUGCACACAGCUAUUAAUAGAUAAUCUUCCCUGUAGGGGUGCACCACAUUUUCCAACACGCUUGAUUACUCUGGCCGGACACACUUUUUUGGGUCAAUGCCCGGCCUUGGAAGAUCAACAUGUCGUAGCCCUACCUAGGCUCAGCAGAGAGGCCCCCAUCGGUCUACAUCCUAAGCACUCCGGGGUCUUGGGCCCAUCGGCCGUAGCACUCCGGGUUGUUGUGCGACGAGCCGGGACGGGCACCACCUCAUAUUGGAUGACACUGCCCCGAAAGGCCCACGAUGCUGAACUGGACGUUUGACAAAGCUUCGGCUGAUACUACGACGUUGAGGUGGUUAGUGCGUAAAGGCCAGAGGCCAACUCAGAACAAAUACCCAUACUAUAGUGUAUUAUUAGCUUGCGGAGACGAGCAGAUACUCACGAUCGAAGUGACCCCGUCGCCCCAUGUCGUGGACUUACGGCAAGGGUCUAUAAUGCUCGGUCGUGCCACGUCAUUAUCUUGCGGGUGCUCUCCGGGCCUGCCCGACUUUCCCAAAGGUCUCAAGUAAAGACAAGGUAACCGUGUAUCCAAACAUCAAGGGGAAAACUCGAGGAAUCACCCCCGGUGGAUUCCACUCGAUGUAAUCAUCAAGGUGAACAUAAGAGGAACCACCCUCGAGGUUCACACUUAAGGUGUUGCACGACAGAGCCGUAUCAGGAAUGAUGGAGGAAAUACCCUCGAUGACCACGACCGAAUAGCUACACUAUAGAGAUCUCAUCAGGAGUGAUGUAUGAGGUUCCACCCUCGGCACUCGAUGGUAACUCUGCAGAGUCGAGCAACAAAAAGGGGCGUGAUGUGAUGUGAGGUGUCGGGCUCUGAUAUGUCUCCAACGUAUCUAUAAUUUAUGAAGCAUUCAUGCUAUUUUAUUAUCUGUUUUGAAUGAUUACGGGCUUUAUUAUACACUUUUAUAUUACUUUUGGGACUAACCUAUUAACCGGAGGCCCAACCCAUAUUGUCGUUUUAUUGCAUGUUUCAGUAUUUUGAAGAAAAGGAAUAUCAAACGCAGUCCAAACAGAAUGAAACCUUCGGGAGACUUGGAGUACAAGCCAGGGAAGGUUCAAGGAGGCCAGGAGAUAGGAGGGCGCGCCCCCCUGUCUCAUGGGCCCCUCAAGGCACCCCCGACCGACUUCUUUCACCUAUAUAUUCCCAUAUACCCUAAAACCAUCGAAGACGAAGAUAGAUCAGGAGUUCCGCCGCCGCAAGCCUAUGUAGCCACCAAAAACCUCUCGGAAGCCCGUUCUGGCACCCUGUCGGAGGGGGAAUCCCUCACCGGUGGCCAUCUUCAUCAUCCCGGUGCUCUCCAUGACGAGGAGGGAGUAGUUCACCCUCGGGGCUGAGGGUAUGUACCAGUAGCUAUGUGUUUGAUAUCUCUCUCUCUUGCUGACUCUAUGGCAUGAUCUUGAUGUAUCGUGAGCUUUGCUAUUAUAGUUGGAUCUUAUGAUGUUUCUCCCCCUCUACUCUCUUGUGAUGAAUUGAGUUUUCCCUUUGAAGUUAUCUCGUCGGAUUGAGUCUUUAAUGAUUUGAGAACACUUGAUGUAUGUCUUGUCGUGCUUAUCUGUGGUGACAAUGGGAUAUCACAUGAUCCACUUGAUGUAUGUUUUGGUGAUCAACUUGCGGGUUCCACCCAUGAACCUAUGCAUAGGGUUGGCACACAUUUUCGUCUUGACUCUCCGGCAGAAACUUUGGGGCACUCUUUGAAGUACUUUGUGUUGGUUGAAUAGAUGAAUCUGAGAUUGUGUGAUUCAUAUCGUAUAAUCAUAACCACAGAUACUUGAGGUGACAAUGGAGUAUCUAGGUGACAUUAGGGUUUUGGUUGAUUUGUGUCUUAAGGUGUUAUUCUAGUACGAAAUCUUGAAUAGAUUGAUCCAAAAGAAUAACUUUGAGGUGGUUUUGUACCCUACCAUAAUCUCUUCGUUUGUUCUCCGCUAUUAGUGGCUUUGGAGUGACUCUUUGUUGCAUGUUGAGGGAUUGUUAUAUGAUCUAUCUAUGUUAUUAUAGUUGAGAGAACUUGCACUAGUGAAAGUAUGAACCCUAUGCCUUGUUUCCUACCAUUGCAAUACCGUUUACGCUCACUUUUAUCAUUACUUACCUUGCUGUUUUUAUAAUUUCAGAUUACAAAAACCCAUAUCUACCAUCCAUAUUGCACUUGUAUCACCAUCUCUUCGCCGAACUAGUGCACCUAUACAAUUUGCCAUUGUAUUGGGUGUGUUGGGGACACAAGAGACUCUUUGUUAUUUGGUUGCAAGGUUGUUUGAGAGAGACCAUCUUCAUCCUACGCCUCCCACGGAUUGAUAAACCUUAGGUCAUCCACUUGAGGGAAAUUUGCUACUGUCCUACAAACCUAUGCACUUGCAGGCCCAACAACAUCUAUAAUAAGAAGGUUGUGUAGUAGACAUCAAGCUCUUUUCUGGCGCCAUUGCCGGGGAGGCUAGGUAAGCGGCACUCACACCCCGUCAACUAAGCUCUUUUCUGGCGCCGUUGCCGGGGAGGUGAGUGCUUGAAGGUAUAUCUUUAGAUCUUGCAAUCGAAUCUUUUUUUUCUUGUUUUAUCACUAGUUUAGUUUAUAAAAGAAAACUACAAAAAAUGGAAUUGAUUUUGUCUCAUACGCUUAAUCUUUUUAAUAUCUUUCGUAAGUUUGAUGAAAAGGAAAAUUGUGCUCAAGUGCUAGAAGAAGAAUGCAUUCGAAUGUUUGGUACUAGAUCUUUGUAUGAUGAGCAUGAUUGCAAUGUUGUUAGUAUGAAUUCUUUGAAUACCCAUGAUGCUAAUGAUAUGCAAAGCCACAAGCUUGGGGAAGCUAUGUUUGAUGAAUAUGAUAUCUUUUGUCCCUCAAGUUUUGAUAUGCAAAGUUGUUAUGAUGAAAGCAUGCCUCUUAUUUAUGAUGAUUAUAUUGAUGAAAGUGGGUUUGGAAGAGUGUCAACUUUAGGAAGUAGUGAUCCCACUAUUUUGGAGGAUGUUGAAUCUUAUUGUGAUGAACAUGAAAGUGGAUUUGGAAGAGUGUCAACUUUAUUUAGUGAUGAUUCCAGUAUUUCGAAAGAGGUUCCAAUUGAUUAUGAGAACAAAGUUGCUAUCUAUGAUGAUUAUUGUGAUGACUUGUAUGCUAUUAAGAAUAAUGAUAACCAUGAAACUUGUCAUCAUGAUUUUAGUUUUCAAUUGGAUUAUGCUUCACAUGAUAGUUAUUUUGUUGAGUUUGCUCCCACUACUAUUCAUGAGAAGAAUUUUGCUUAUGUGGAGAGUAGUAAAUUUUCUAUGCUUGUAGAUAAUGAAAAUAAUGCUUUAGGUGCUGGUUAUAUUGUUGAAUUCAUUCAUGAUUGUACUGAAAAUUAUUAUGAGGGAGAAACUUAUGCUUGUAGGAAUUGCAAUAAUGUCAAGUUUCCUCUCUAUGUGCUUCAAGUCUUGAAGUUAUGCUUGUUUUGCCUUCCUAUGCUAGUUGAUUAUUGUUCCAAUAAGUCAUUUGCUCACAAAAUCCCUAUGCAUAGGAAGUUGUUUAGGCUUAAAGGUGCUAGUCAUAUGCUUCAGGAUGCUCCCAUUAUGUUUCAAUUCUUAUCUUUCAUGUGAGGAUCAUUGUCAUCAUCAUGCCUAGCUAAAAAGGCAUUAAAGAAAAGCACUUGUUGGGAGACAACCCCAUAUUUAUCCUUACUGUUUUUGUGUGUUCACAUGAUUACGCUACUGUAGUAAUCAUGUUUUAUAGCUUUUGUUUCAAUAAAGUGCCAAGUAAUACCUUUAGGAUAGCUUACGGUGAUAGUUGUGUUGAUCCUGCUGAAAAUCAGAAACUUUUGCACCCAGUAAAUUAGUUCUGAAAAUUCACAAAAUCGUGCUUAUGAUCUUAUUCUUUUUUCUCUUAAUUGGUAUACAAAUUUCUUAGGACUUCCUAAUUUGAUAGGAGUUUUGAAGUUCCAGAAGUAUACGUUUGAUACAGAUUACUACAGACUGUUCUGUUUUUGAUAGAUUAUGUUUUCUAUGUGUUGUUUACUUAUUUUGAUGAAUCUAUGAGUAGUAUCGGAGUGUAUGGAACCAUAGAGAAGUUAGAAUACAGUAGACAUUACACCAAUAUGAAUUUAGAACGAAUUCAUUACAGUACCUAAGUGGUGGUUUUAUUUUCUUAUACUAAUGGAGGUUACGAGUUUUCUGUUGAGUUUUGUGUUGUGAAGUUUUCAAGUUUUGGGUAAAGAUUCGAUGGACUAUGGGAAAGAGCCUAAGCUUGGGGAUGUACAAGGCACCCCAAGGUAAUAUUCAAGGACGGCCAAGAGCCUAAGCUUGGGGAUGCCCCGGAAGGCAUCCCCUCUUUCGUCUUUGUUCAUCGGUAACUUUACUUGGAGCUAUAUUUUUAUUCACCACAUGAUAUGUGUUUUGCUUGGAGCGUCAUUUUAUUUUGUUAGUAUUUACUUGCUGUUAGUUAGAAUAUUUUUUUGCAUCUUAGGUUUCAAUAAAAAUAUCAAGGAUAGCCUUUGCCAUGCUUAUUUUGCUAGUAUACAUGUUGCUGUUUGAAAACAGAAAGUUUACCACUAUUACAAAUAUUCCCUAGAAAAGUCGGAGCAUGAUAUAAUGUUGAAACUUUUUGCAUAUUGAGAUCUGAUAAAUCUUAUACAGCGUAGCAUUUUUCUCAUAAUUGUUGUAGUUAGGGAAGUAUUGAUACACUUGCAUUCUUUACAGACUGUACUGUUUUGGCAGAUUGCUGUUAUGUUUGCAUUGUUUGCAUAUGUUUGCUUCUUUAAUGAUUCUAUUUGAGGAUAGGAGUAUUGAAUAUGCAGAGGCAUUUAUUAUGCAAUGUUGAAUAAUAAUUUUAGUGAUUUUUUACAGUAGAAAAUGAUAAGGUUUUGCAUUGGUAUAUACUAACCUAUCUCACGAGUUCUCGUUGAGUUUGGUGUGGAUGAAGCUUUUGAUAAAAAGAGAAACCAUGAUAUGAGAGGAAUUAAGGAGACAUAAAAGUUCAAGCUUGGGGAUGCCCAAGGCACCCCAAGAUAAUAUUUCAAGAAGUCUCAAGCAUCUAAGCUUGGGGAUGCCCCGGUAGGCAUCCCACCUUUCUUCUUCAACAACUAUCGGUUAGUAUCGGUUGAACCUAAGUUUUUGCUUCUUCACAUGAGUUGUGCUAUCCUUGCAAUGUCAUUUUAUUUUGUUUUGCUUGCUGUUUGAAUGAAAUACCAAGAUCUGAAAUUCUUAAAUGAGAGAGAGUCUUCACAUAGUUACAUUAUUAUUUAGCUACUCAUUGAUCUUCACUUAUAUCUUUUUGGAGUAGUUUGUCAUUUACUCAUGUGCUUCACUUAUAUCCUAUGAGUAAAUGGUUGAAUGAGUUGAUUGUCAUAAAUCUGAAAUUAUAUAUGUCUAAUUUGCUUAUCUCAUGGGGAGUAAUGACUUCACAUCUAAAAAGUAGAGCUUGUAAAUUUAUUGAAGGUUAGCAAGCAUUGUAUUGGUCAUUUGAACAAUUCAUGAAAGAAUAUUGAAGGAAGAGAGAUUUCACUUAUAAAUAUGCUAUCUUAGACAUCUUUUAUAAUUGUGAGCACUCAUUAAGUAUGACAUGCUAAAGAGUUGAUGUUGGACAAGGAAGACAACGUAAUGGGUUAUGUUUUCUCACAUCUCAGUUAAAGUAUAUUGUCAUGGAUCAUACAAACAUGUUGAGCUUGCCUUUCCCCCUCAUGCUAGCCAAAUUCCUUGCACCAAGUAGAGAUACUACUUGUGCUAACAAAUAUCCUUAAACCCAGUUUUGCCAUGAGAGUCCACCAUACCUACCUAUGGAUCGAGUAAGAUCCUUCAAGUAAGUUUUCAUCGGUGCAAGCAAUGAAAAAUUGCUCUCUAAUUAUGUAUGAUCUAUUAGUGUGAAGAAAAUAAGCUUUAUAUGAUCUUGUUAUGGAAGCAAUAAAAGCGACGGACUGCAUAAUAAAGGUUCGUAUACAAGUGGCAAUAUAAAGUGACGUUCUUUUGCAUUACGAUUUUGUGCAUUUAACCAUAAGAGCGCAUGACAACCUCUGCUUCCCUCUGCGAAGGGCCUAUAUUUUACUUUAUGUUUUUUACUUUAUGCAAGAGUCAAGGUGAUCUUCACCUUUCCAUGUUUUCAUUUUAUCCUUUGGCAAGCACCUCGUUUUGGAAAGAUCCUGUAUAUAUAUCCAAUUGGAUGUAAGUUAGCAUGAACUAUUAUUAUUGACAUCACCCAAAGGUGAAUACGUUGGGAGGCAACACUAUAAGCCCCUAUCUUUCUCAAUGUCCGAUUAAAAGUCCAUAACCAUUAGUAUUGCGUGAGUGUUAGCAAUCAUGGAAGACUAUAUGAUAGUUGAGUAUGUGGAGUUUUCUAAAUCAAAACUCUGACAUAGACCCUUCCUGAAAAUAAGAUGAAUUGUAAUUGUUUGAUGACUAAGAAUGAAGUUUGCUAGUUUUCCAGGAAGUUUAUGGUCUAUGCUUUAAACUUGUGAAUUGCUUGUUACGUGAUCUUGAGAAGUUUUAUGAGAUGAACUACUGUUAUGACAUAUAAUCAUGCUAGAAAAGGUGAUUGAAAUUAUCAUUGGUCAAACUUGUGCACCUGCUGGCAUUCACACUUCAUAAAUUCUUUCUUUUAUCAUUUACCUACUCGAGGACGAGCAGGAAUUAAGCUUGGGGAUGCUGAUAUAUCUCCAACGUAUCUAUAAUUUAUGAAGCAUUCAUGCUAUUUUAUUAUCUGUUUUGAAUGAUUACAGGCUUUAUUAUACACUUUUAUAUUACUUUUGGGACUAACCUAUUAACCAGAGGCCCAUCCCAUAUUGCUGUUUUAUUGCCUAUUUCAGUAUUUCGAAGAAAAGGAAUAUCAAAUGGAGUCAAAAUGGAAUGAAACCUUCAGGAGCGUGAUUUUUGGAAAGGAUAUGAUCCGGGAGACUUGGAGUACAAGCCAGGGAAGGUUCGAGGAGGCCAGGAGAUAGGAGGGCGCGCCCACCCCUGGGCGCGCCCCCUGUCCCGUGGGCCCCUCGAGGCUCCCCCGACCGACUUGUUUCACCUAUAUAUUCCCAUAUACCCUAAAACCAUCGAAGACGAAGAUAGAUCGGGAGUUCCGCCGCCACAAGCCCCUGUAGCCACCAAAAACCUCUCAGGAGCCCAUUCUGACACCCUAUCAGAGAGGGAAUCCCUCACCGGUGGCCAUCUUCAUCAUCCCGGCGCUCUCCAUGACGAGGAGGGAGUAGUUCACCCUCGGGGCUGAGGGUAUGUACCAGUACCUAUGUGUUUGAUCUCUCUCUCUCUCUCGUGUUCUCUCUAUGGCACGAUCUUGAUGUAUCGCGAGCUUUGCUAUUAUACUUGGAUCUUAUGAUGUUUCUCCCCCUCUACUCUCUUGUGAUGAAUUGAGUUUUCCCUUUGAAGUUAUCUUGUCGGAUUGAGUCUUUAAUGAUUUGAGAACACUUGAUGUAUGUCUUGUCGUGCUAAUCUGUGGUGAUAAUGGGAUAUCACGUGAUCCACUUGAUGUAUGUUUUGGUGAUCUACUUGCGGGUUCCACCCAUGAACCUAUGCAUAGGGGUUGGCACACGUUUUCGUCUUGACUCUCCGGUAGAAACUUUGGGGCACUCUUUGAAGUACUUUGUGUUGGUUGAAUAGAUGAAUCUGAGAUUGUGUGAUGCAUAUCGUAUAAUCAUGCCCACGAAUACUUGAGGUGAAAAUGGAGUAUCUAGGUGACAUUAGGGUUUUGGUUGAUUUGUGUCUUAAGGUGUUAUUCUAGUACGAAAUCUUGAAUAGAUCGAUCCGAAAGAAUAACUUUGAGGUGGUUUCGUACCCUACCAUAAUCUCUUUGUUUGUUCUCCGCUAUUAGUGGCUUUGGAGCGACUCUUUGUUGCAUGUUGAGGGAUUGUUAUAUCAUCUAUCUAUGUUACUAUUGUCGAGAGAACUUGCACUAGUGAAAGUAUGAACCCUAUGCCUUGUUUCCUACCAUUGCAAUACCGUUUACGCUCACUUUUAUCAUUAGUUAACUUGCUGUUUUUAUAAUUUCAUAUUACAAAAACCCAUAUUUACCUUCCAUAUUGCACUUUUAUCACCAUCUCUUCGCCGAACUAGUGCAUCUAUACAAUUUGCCAUUGUAUUGGGUGUGUUGGGGACACAAGAGUCUCUUUGUUAUUUGGUUGCAAGGUUGUUUGAGAGAGACCAUCUUCAUCCUACGCCUCCCAUGGAUUGAUAAACCUGAGGUCAUACACUUGAGGGAAAUUUGCUAUGUCCUACAAACCUGUGCACUUGCAGGCCCAACAACAUCUCCAAGAAGAAUGUUGUGUAGUAGACAUCAGGCUCUGGUCGUCAAUCACGUUGAUCGAGGUUUCAAUGAUGAAGCAGGGGCAACAAGGACAAGGUGGGGGUCACUGAUGGAUCACUAACCAACCUAUACUAAGCAGUUUAGGAUAAGCAGGUAAGGUACAAUAGCAGAUACAAAAGCAAGCUAUGCAUCAGAAUAGGAGCAAUCAAAUAGAGUAGCAAAAUCUAAUGCAAGCAUGAGAUAAUAGAAUGGGCGAUAUUGGGAUGAUCAAAGGGGGGGGGGGCUUGCCUGGAAGCUCCGCUGAAAGGGAAGAAGGGUUGCCGUCGACGUAGUCGAUCACAAGGGCACCAACAACAGUCUUGUGCUCUACCGGAGAGAAGAGGGGGGAGAAAUAGUAAAUACAAGCAAACAUAUGCAUGACAAGACAAAUAAGUGGUGCUAGAGGUGUUCUAACGCAGCUCUAGGCGAUACUGGUGAAGGAGGAAAGCUUCUGGGAAAGUAUUCCCGGUUCCGGACGUCUGUCGGACAAAUGAACCUAAGGGGAAAGGUUUGACAUUUGCUAUGCUAGGAACGUGUGUCGUACGAACGGGUCGCGUAUUCGGAUUCGUCUCGUCGUUCUGAGCAACUUUCAUGUAUAAAACUUUUUCAUCCAAGCUACGGAUUAUUUUCUAUGAUUUUUCUAAGUUCUAAACAUUUACUAAAAUUAUUUUAAAUUCGAAAAUAAAAGAUUAAAAGCUAUGGGUACACAGGAAAUGUACCCAGAAUGUUGCUUAUUCGGCUGACAGGUGGGGUCAUUGACUGAGUUGACCAGGUCAAAAGUUGACUGGUCAAAAAGGGGAAUAGUGUUUGGGUCCCACCUGUCACUGUCUCUAGCUUUAUUAGAUUAACCAUUUUUGUUUAAUUAGUAGUGGGGCCCUCCUGUCAUUGAGUCAUUAACUUAACAGAGAUUAGUUAACUAAAAUUAUUGUUUUUAAUUAGCGAUUAGGGGUUAGUUAAUCCGGUCGGGCCCACGCGCCAGUGGGUCAACCCACUGGCUAAACGUGUGUGCGUGCAUGCCCGCUGGCGAGCACAGAAGACAACAGUGGUGUUCGGGACUUCGGUGGCCAAACCGCACGCGGUUGGCUGCGUCCGAACGUGGGCGUUGAGCCACGUCCAGGGCGAUGAAGGGAGGCGCAGGGGUGGCCGAGCGAGUCGAGGAUGAUGACGCCUAGCGGCAGUUGCGGGCGGCGCUCAGUGCCGCAUUCCUGCGGGACGCAGAGGCGAGCGAGCGCGGGGCUGCGUGAGGGGCGUGGUCGGCGAGUGAGCAGUAGGUAAUGGAGGCGGGCAUGGCGGUGAGUAGCAGGCGGGACGGAGCCGAGCGGGAAAAGCAGGGGCGGCCGGCUGCGGCGAGAGAAGCUGGCAAAGCAAGGGGAAAGCAGGCGCAGGCACGAGUUGUCGCGGGGCCGGACGCGCGAGCGAUGACAGUGAGGUGCGCACGGAGCGAGGCAAAGUGGAGGGGGGGGUUCUCUCACAUCGUUGGAGAGAAGGGGACAGCGAGGCCUGGGGAGGUCCGGCGAGGGAAAGGCAGGUCGGGGCGGCGAGGUGGCGUCGGAGCCGACGAGCGAAAGUCGGAGCAAGGUGGCGCCAGCGUCGAAGAAGGAGAGGCGGUCCGGCGCAGCGGGGCGGCUCCGAGGCGAGGUGCGACGGCGGCGGGGAGGUGCGGCCGCCGGGUUGGAUCCCUGAUCCAGAUCAGGGGGAGUGGGAGAGAGAGCAUGAGUGGGAGUAGUGGGGGAUUGUGGGGGAAGAUGGGAUAGGGUUCGGUCGGGCGUGGCCUAUAGGUCACGGGAGCGGGGGAGUGGGCUGGCUUAGGUGGGCUGGCCAGUGGGAGUGGGCCGAGGCCCGGGGGGUUCUUCUUCGCUUUUUAAAAAAAGACAGAGAUGGUUAAGAGAAUAUUUUGGGCACACUAUUUACUUAGGAAAAAUAUGGGAAGUGCCCCUUUUAAUUCCCUGGUGAUCUUAGACAGUGCCACAAAUAUUUUAGAGACCAGAAGAGUUCAUUUGUAUUUUUCAUAAAUGAAUUAGUUAUAAAAAUUGCUGGAACAGCAUUGUUUUAAAAUGCUACUGCCCAUUUUCGCAAAGGAAUGAUGUUGUAUUCCUUAAUAAAUAAAUGUUAUGGUAUAUUGGCUAUGAGAUAAACACUUUCCCAACAACUUUUGGGCAAAUUUAUUUUGCACUUUGAAUUUGAAUUGAUUUCAGAGAGGGGAAUUGAAAUGAGUUGAAUUAUCACUGUGAUCAUGCAUUGCAAAUGAUGAUGACAAGGCAGGAUUAAGAGGUGAUCAUUGUUGUUGAUACAUGGGGGUGUUACAUAUGAUUUGAUUAGAACUAGCUCGGACUGAUGCUGUUUUUAGCAAAACUACCGUGGUGUUGUUUUUGUGCAGAAAUAAAAGUUCUUGGAAUGCGCUGAAAAUCAACGAGAAUAUUUUUGGAAAAUAUAAAAAAUACUGGAACGAAAAGCUACCAGAGGGGAGUCCCGAGGCCACCACUAGGGUGGAGGGCGCCCCCCUAGGGCGCGCCCCCUACCUUGUGGACUCCCCGUGGGCCCCCUUGACAUGAAACUGACGCCAACCCCUCCUAUAAAUCCCAAAAAACCCAGAACAGAAGGGAGAUCAGAAGUUUCGUCGCUGCAAGCCUCCAAAAGCACGAGGGAUCAAUCUAGGCCCUCUCCGGCACCCUGCCGGAGGGGGCCAUCAUCACCGGUGGCAAUGGGGGAGGAUCUCGGAGGGGCCAUCAUCUCCAUGAAGGCCAGGGAAUAGAGGGAGAACCUCUCCCCAUCCAGGGGAGGCCAUGGAGGAGGAAGCAUAAGGGGGAGAACCUCUCCUCCUCUCUCGUGGUGGCUCCAGAGGAAUCAUCGCCGCGGUGAUCGUCUUCACAACAUCACCAUCCUCAUCUCUUUUCAGCAGUCCACUCUCCUGCACCCCGCUGUAAUCACCUACUUGAACAUGGUGCUUUUGAGCCACAUAUUAUGAUCCAAUGAUGUGUUGCCAUCCUAUGAUGUUUUGAGUAGAUUUCCUUUGUCUUUGGGUUGAUUGAUGACCUAGAUUGGUUUGAGUUGUAUGUUUUAUUUUGGUGCUGUCCUAUGGUGUCUUCCGUGCUGCGCACACGUGAGGGAUUCCCGCUGUAGGGUGUGUCAAUACGUUCAUGAUUUGCUUAUAGUGGGUUGCUAGAGUGACAGAAGCUUAAACCCGAGUAAGGGGGUUGUUGUGUAUGGGAUAAAGGGGACUUGAUAUGUUAAUGCUAUGGUUGGGUUUUACCUUAAUGAUCUUUAGUAGUUGCGGAUGCUUGCUAGAGUUCCAAUCAUAAGUGCAUAUGAUCCAAGAAGAGAAAGUAUGUUAGCUUAUGCCUCUCCCUCAUAUGAAAUUGCAAUAAUGAUUACCGGUCUUGUUAACAAUUUCCUAGGACAAUUCUGCACACCGACCCAUCAUUAUUCCACACUCGCUAUUUAUAAUAUUUAGUAAUAUAUUCUAACUUUAUGAUAACAACACCUACAUUUAUAUUUUAGCUCUCCGAUACCAUGCAAAGUUAUCCUCUUCAUACCCACAACAUAGUUUUAUUUCUCGUUUCUAGUUGGAAGCAAUCGUUCGGUGUACGUAGAGUCGUAUCAAUGGAAGAUAGGACUUGAGAGAAUAUUAUCUUACCUUUAGCUCCUUGUGGGUUCGACACUCCAUACUUAUCAUCUCCACCUUUGGAAAUUUCUACGAUACUUCCAUCGCCUCUGCCAUUGCCCACAUGAGAAUCUCAAUUGGGAUUGCCCCCUUGCCGUUAAGAAGUAUUCGCCUUUGCUCAUCACUCAUUACUUCCAAUGUCAAGCCCAUCGAGUGCAUCACGAGAUAUUUCACACUAUGAAACCAUGAGCAUAUCUCCUUGCACUUGGCCAGCAAGAGCUCAUCCCCAAGGCAGAAGAAAUCCAUCUCCCUCUUUGAGCUCAGACCUGCUAGCCAUCAAUCAAAGAUCAAAUUUGUAAAUCAAAGAAUUAAAAACGGACUCGAUUAUUCGAAUCUAAAUCAAUGAAACACAAUCUAAAAAGGGCUCCUAUAAAAAAACCUAAUUUCUAGGGUUUUCUAUUUCCAAACUAGUUUCCACUAGUACCACUGGCACGAAUUCAAUCCUAAAUAUACAUUGAUAUAGAUCGCAAACUGGAGCAACUAAAUGCAUGACAAUUCAAUUGGUCAAUUGCCCAUUUAAUCAACUGAUAAAUGAUUCAUAAUUGCUAGGGUUUCGAUUAGAAAUUUACCGAUCGACCAACGAUCUCGAAUGGUUCCUAUGUAUGGGAGGAAGGGUUGCCUAGUAGAACCACUUUGUUGCACCAUCGGAACUCAGGCGGAUGGUCGGAGUAGGCGGUGGGGCUACUAGGGAGCGCGGUGGUGCCGGCGGCUACGUGGGGCUGGGUGGGGGAUGCGGUGGUUCACUUGUGGUCGGUCUAAUUUCGGCAAAAGAAAUGCGGCGGCUAGCACAUGUCCUACUCGUCAUAAGCGGUCACGUCCAUGGCCCACCUACCAUACGAGGCCCACCUUGAUACAUCUCCAACAUAUCUAUAAUUCAUGAAGUAUUCAUGUAAGAUUUAGAACAAUUCUAUAUGUUUUUGGUAUGAUUUGAAUGGAACUAACCCGGACUGACGUUGUUUUCAGCAGAACUACCGCAAUGUUGUUUUUUGUGCAGAAAUAAAAGUUCUCCAAAUGUGACAAAACUUUUUGAUGAUAUUUUUUUGGAACAAAAGAGGCACUAUAAGCUUCGUGGGAGUACCAGAGGGUGAAGGAGGUGAGCACUAUCUACCAGGGCGCGCCAGGGGCCUUGACCAUGUGUUGGUGGGUAGUGGGCCCCUCUAAGCCCAUUUAGAAGUGAGAACGACAUCAAAAAAUCCUAUAAAUACAGAAACCCCUAGAAAUAACCCUAGAUCGGAAGUUCCGCCACCGCAAGCCUCUGUAUCCAUGAAAAACCAAUCUGGAUCCUGUUCCGGCACCCCGUCGGAGGGGGAAAUCAUCACCAGAGGCCAUCUUCAUCAUCCCGGCGGCAACCAUGAUGAGGAGGGAGUAGUCCACCCUCGGAGUUGAGGGUUUGUACCAGUAGCUAUGUGUUUAAUCUCUCUCUCUCUCUCUCUCUCAUGCUCUUCGUUUGGCACGAUCUUGAUGUAUCACGAGCCUUGUUAAUAUAGUUCGAUCAUAUGGUGUUUUCCCCUCUCUAUCUUGUUGUGAUGAGUUGAGUUUUCCCUUUGAGAUUUCGUUAUUAUCGAAUUGAAUACUUUUAUGGAUAUGAGAACACUUGAUGUAUGUCUUGCUAUGAAUACAAGUGGUGACAAUGGGGUAUCAUACUGAUUUACUUGAUGUGUGUUUUGGCACUCAACUCGCGGAUUCCCGAGGUGGCAUUGGUAUAAUCUAUGCAUAGGGGUUGAUGCAUGUGCUCGUCUUUGUUUCUCCGGUAGAAAUCUUGGGGCACUCUUUGAGGUUCUUGUGUUGGAUUGAGUAUUAUGAAUCUGAAUUUGUUUUGGUGUUAUUUUAGUACAAUCUCUUGGGCAGAUCGAUCGGAAAGGAUAACUUGGUGUUAUUUUAGUACGAACUCUUAGACAGAUCGAUCAGAAAGGAUAACUUUGAGGUGGUUUCGUACCCUACAAACAAUUUCUUCUUAUGUUCUCCGCUAGAUAAGACAUUUGGAGUGAUUCUUCAUCGCAUGUUGAGGGAUGGUUAUAUGAUCCAAUUAUAUUAGCAUUGUUGAGAGAUUGCACUAGUGAAAGUACGAACCCUAGGCCUUAUUAUCAUGCAUUGCAAUAUCGUUUGUGCUCACUUUUGUUACUUGCUACCUUGCUGUUUUUAUUUAUUCAGAUUAUAAAAAUAUAUUUCUACCGUCCAUACUACACUUUUAUCACCAUCUCUUCUCCUAACUAGUGCACCUAUACAAUUGCCAUUGUAUUGGGUGUGUUGGGGACACAAGAGAUUUCUUGUAUUUGAUUGCAGGGUUGUUUGAGAGAGACCAUCUUCAUCCUACGCUUCCCCGGGAUUGAUAAACCUUGGAGCUGUCGUGGAAUUGUCACGUCAGAUGUCCUCGUGAAAGGACUUAGUUGUGGAGCCAUUGCAACUAGGAAGCUUGAAGGGGUUAAACGGGACAAAGAACACGAGAGGGUUUAUACUAGUUCGGCCCCUUACGGUGAAGGUAAGGCCUAUGUCUAGUUGGGUUGGUAUUGAUGUUUCGAUGAUCAGGGAGCGAGAUAUGCUAUGCCUGGCUCUCGAUGAGUUGUUUCCUUUUCUAAACCGCCAGCGGGUCGUCCUCUUAUAUACAUGGGUCGAUGCCCUGCGGCUUACAGAGUCCCGGCCGGCUCAUAAACAAUGUCCGGCUCGGUGACUAGUUAAGCCUACCUUAUGAUACAAGUAAUAUUAUUACAGCGGGUUACUACAACGGGCCUUAAGUCGCCUGCGGGCCUUAAGCUCUCUAUGAACCACCAUCUUCAUACUUUGUCUUGGGCUUCUCUCUGGUGAGUCCUCUUUGCGUAACCCGGCCCCUCCUGGGCGGCUUACACAAAUAGUUAUAUCCCCAACAUUAGGCACCAGAUUGAUUUGAACCGGUUCAUGUCAAUCUUAAAAUACCUUAUGAACCGCCCUGCAGUCUUUUAUCUUGCGCGAAGGAUUUACCCGCCGUGGCGUCAUCAUCUAACUCUGGGUUAAAUCUCUGUGACGUCAUCUUCAUUAAAGCUUUAUUUUUUUAUGCCGUCACAUCUUCAACGGAUCUUUGUCUUUACUGACCAUCCCGAGAAUCGAGGCGCCAUUGUCGCUGGAUAAUGAAUGUUAUCUCCUCGUUUUUUGCGCCUGCCCGGUCAGUCUUUCCUUAUAAAUAGAGCGACCUAGGUCUUCCCCAGUCGUCUUCUUCCUCUUGCCUCCUCCCGUGCUCUGCCGUUGCCACCGUCGACCCCCUCGUCGUCACCGACUCAGGCCGCUGCAUCGACCUGACUCCGACCAAAGAUUGACGGCGAACCUCUGCGGCCCAUCCGCAUCUGUGAGCUCUUCUCAUUUCCUUUCUCAGAUCUGCUUUAGGUUCUUGCCGAGUUCGUCGGUGUUCAUCACUGCCCGACGCAAACCUUCUCUAGUUCUUUCCUCCAACACCCUGUUUAGACCGUAAAAACUACAUAGAACUGCUGCGGUGCUUACUUAUAUUGAUCUCGCGCAGGAAUAGAUCUCAUUUCCCUUGCGUAGAACCCCUUUUCGAGUAUAUGAGCUUCUCUGCUUUGUUUUUAGGUCUAGGAAAAUUUCUUUCCAGGGCAAUAUUUUGAUCCAGAGUAAUAACUGUCCUCUGUGAAACUUGUCUUCGUCACCCGGAAAACCUCCUCUGGUAAAUGUCCUGAAAUACAACUGUCGAGGUCUCCGGCUUAAAUAGAUGAUACAGAACCUUGACUGCUCCUCAUGACCCGGAAUUUUUUUGAAUUGCACUUGAUACUUGUAGCGGCUUAAAUAUUGUUGCACAGUCAUCCUUAUAUCAUUAGGCCCCUCAUUAAGCCGCCACUUUAAUCAAGAUUUUCCUCCCGGGUUAAAAUUGAACCGGAUCUUCUUGUUUUCCAUAGGCCAAUUGUUGUGAUGGCUCCUAAGGCUAUCAAGGCCCCUGUAACUUGCAAUUGGGUUCCAUCCACAGUGACCAAUAGCAAACUAGCUGAGUUUGUAAUGUCUGGGCAUCUGCCAAAAAAGGACAUCAUGUCGUACCGUGCCCCUGACCCGUCUGAAGAAAAACCUCACCCCAAAGCAGGGGAAGUAAUAAUUUUCACUGAUCAUAUGAGCCGUGGAUUUGCUCCUCCUGGCUCAAAAUUCUUCAGAGAGGAUAUGAACUUCUUUGACCUUAGACCUCAAGACAUCGGACCCAAUUCCGUGUCAAAUAUUUGCAAUUUUCAAGUCUUCUGCGAGGUGUACCUGCGAGAGGAGCCAAGUCUGAUUUUGUUCAGGGAACUUUUUUAUAUGAACCGGCAAAAUGAACGUGCCAACGGGCCCAGCCUUGAACUUGGCGGCAUCUCAAUCCAGCGACGGAGAGACUGUCUUUUCCCUUAUGCUGAGCUGCCGAGUCACCCCAAAUCUUGGAACCAGACGUGGUUCUACUGUCAGGACACUUCUCCGGCUGAUGAAAAGCCUCUGCCCGGCUUUCGCGUCCUGCGCCUUGAAUCUAAUCAUCCGCUACCAGACAAGCUGACAACCCUUGAACGCGUGCCUCUUAAUCCCACCAUCAAGAAGAUUAAAGCUCUAUUGGGAAAUGGUUUAAACGGCAUCGAUCUGGUCCGAGUCUCGGUCACUUGGCGUAUACUUCCAUUAAGCCGCCGUCCUGGCUUAAUGUGUACUUAUACUGGAGAAAAGACUGAUCCGCAACGCAUAGCCCUGACGACUUACCAGAUGACGUGGUGGAUGCUACAACCCAGUCAUUGCGAAAGGAGGGCACUGUGACGAGCAACGCCUUCGGUUUACUUCGGUUUUGCAAGAAUAACCCGGCCCCUGCGGUAAGUUAUCAAUCAUAACAAAUGUUUAUGUAUAGAUGAUACCUUUCUUGAUACUCACAACUCUUUAACUUUUUCCACAGGCUCGUAAUGACUUUUGGAAAGCCAAAUAUGACCAUGAAGCUGCCAAACAAGCCAGGACGACCAAGAACGCUGAAAGGAAAGCCGCCAAGGUAGGAACCUCGAAGAAAAAGAAACCCAGCGCCUCCGACUUACUCAGAUUGGAGGAUAGCUCUUCAGAUGAGGAAGAGAUAAUCUGUAAGUUUUCUUAAGUCCCUUGUUAUCACCUGUCUGACAUUUUAUCCUUUCAGGAGGAUACGGGGAACAGUCGAGCAGCUAAUGAAGAGGUAACUAUAAUAUCCUCCGACUCAGAGCCUUUGCCAAAGCGAAAGACCCGAAGGGUGACCCGGAAAGUAAGAUUUUCACAUGCACUUGCUUAUCAAGAUCCUCAAUUUAUUUUGAAGCAACAACAGCUUGAGAACCGAAGGCAGACCCGGAACAACAAGGAUGCCGAACUCUCCUCCGGCUUACCUGAUGUAACCAGGAAGCGUCGGACUGUGGUUAUCUCCGAUUUAUGCUCUGUCUUACCUUUAGUAGGCUUAAUUCGUCAACCUCUCAAUUCAUCCGACUCCAACUAUCAGGAUACCUCUCCUUCUUCUGGUGAAUCCAUGCAGUCGAAUAUGCCGACUUUCAAAACUGCUCCCGGGUAAUGUAAACUUAUGCACUUUUACCUUACCCAUGCUUGCGUAUUCAUCCUUAUGCUUUUGUUAAUAGUAUGCAAGUGAAGCCCAGCAAACGGGCAAAGAAGAAUAAGCCGUCCGAAGAACCGGUCGUGGUUGAACCGGUGAUUAAUGCGUCUGCUCCAGACAGUGCUACCCAUCAGCCGCCACCUGACCCGGCUUCUGAUAUUCCAGUGCCAACCUCUGAUCCACAUACCGAAGACAUUCUCCACACAAGUGACCCGGAGACUCCUAGCCCGGUGAAGAGAAAUGACCCGGAAGUUGAGAUUGUGAAGUCCCAGUUUGUUGAACCAGGGCGGCCUACAGUCCUUGCCUAAUGUACUGCCAAGGAAGAGUUUGCCCAACGCCGAAAAGCCAAGCAGGACAUUACGGAUUAUACUCACCUAAGCAUUGGUGACAUAGUCUCAGGCUAUCUGCAUCAAGUGCAUAAUAGCCGUGACCUGGAAGUUGACAUGGUGAAACAAAUACAGCAUAAAUCUAAGGUAUAAACUUAUACUUUUAUCUGGGCCUUAUAUAUAAUGUACCAGCCCCCAAGUCUAUUUCUUAUGAACAAAUACGCUGUAGACUUAGAAGUCUGCUUUUACUUGUUAACUUAUCCGGCUUAAGAGAAUUUAUUUAACCCGGUAUAACAUAAGGCCUUUAAAUUUGCAAUACACAUUAGUCCCCAAGUGUCAAGUAUCCUUACUUGUAAGGUGCUUGAGACUUAAUAUGCUUGACCCGGCAGGAUAAAGUUAAAUUUUCUUUCAGCAUACAUUAGCCCCCAAGUGCCAAGUAUCUUUACUUGUAAAGUGCUUGGGACUUGAAUGUUUACCUUACUAGAAUCCUUACCAUUACUUGGUGUCAAUUGCAGGCUGCCAUAAGUCAAUUUGAAUCAGAGCUUGCUGCCCUGAAGAGUUGUCUGGAAACUCAAGAGCUUGAGACGCAAAAAGCUAACUCCAAAUUUUAAUUUAGUGUCUUUGAAAAUGAGAAACUAAAGAAGAAUUUUGAGUCGGGAAAGAAAAUUUGGGCUGAUGAAAAGGCUUCCCUAGUGAUCCGGGCCGAAACAGCCGAAGCAUCUCUUGCAGAAGCAACAACCGAGCUGUCAAACUUAAAACAGCAAAUAUCCCAAAUGGUCUCAGCCAUCUUUGGUAAGUUAUUGUGACAUAGUUUUAACAUGGCAACUGUACAAUGACUAUUGUAAUAAAUACUUCCGGCUUACCGUUAUGCUUGUGCACAUACAGGCUCCAGGAGUGUCAAUCUGAAGCAGAACACGCUGAUCAAGCUUAAAGCAGUUUAUACGUUAGUGGAAUAGCUAUACUCCGGGACACAACGUGCCCUAGCCGUUGUAGCUUUAUCAACUCCACACCCCCGCCUUUUGCAAGAUGUUUUCAAGAGCCUCGCCUUUCUACCUCAGCGGAUCCAAGACUUAAGGCGUUCAUCUUCAAGAGCCGGGGCCGUAGCUGCAUUGAGCCGGGCAAAAGCAUGGCUCCCAGAACUAGACCCGGCAGACCUUGCUCUUGGAUAUCCGAGUCUAAAGGAAGACGGCAAUGCAUUUGAUGAUCAUGACUUCCAUGCCUGUGUUAAGACCAUACGUCCAGUGGCCACCCUUAUUGGAAACGAUACAGACCUCAGCAAGUAUGCGUGGGCUUAUGACAGCAACAACCGGAAAAUCACAAACGCUCCAUAUGAUCAAAUCAGACUGAUCCCUCCAAUUCGUAAGCAUACUUUUGCCCCUGAAGUGGACCCGGCCGGUUUAAUAGAUGAUGAAGCUGAAUUUGAAGCUUUGAGCGGCAUGGAUUGGGCUUCAUCAACUUUCCAGGAAACAACAGCCGACGGAGAAGCGGAGAAGGGUAACCCGGAGCCUUCAAGCCCACCGAAGGAGUGAAUCACCGAGUGUUUGGCCAAAAUACAAUGCUUCACCUAUUCAGACUCGAGGAGUCAUGUAAUAGGGUAGAAAGAACUUCUUAAUGCUCAUCAUGCCUUCGUGCAUGCUUUUAUCACUUAACGCUUUUUGUAAGCCGCCAUGGUUGUAUAUAUCUGGCUUUUACUUCCUUGGCGUGUUAAAUUUUGCUUGCCUUAUUCUGCAAUCCUUGAAUGAUCUUCCCAGAUCAUAUAAUGUUCACCAGGUACUUAAAUAACCUCGGGUGAUGAAUAUUAAACUGGCAAGACAAAAAACACCUUAAAAUGCUUUCCACAAGGUAUCAGAAUAAUCAAAAAUACUUUUACAGGCUUCUGAUUCGGAUACGAUCAGUAAACCGUUCCAAAGGGGUUAAGCUAAGAUUCGGAUACGAUCAUAUAGCCCCUAGUGGCGUGGCGAUGCCAAUCAAGUGGGUAUCGACAGCUAUGUUCUCUUUGGUUCGAAUACGACCUAUGUUUGAACAGGAAGCCCCCAAGUGACCAUAGGAUUUGUUUAAUGAUGCUGAUUCAUAUACGAUCCACGUCAGACCUAAAGGGGUUAAGCUGUGAUUCAAAUAUGACCAGGAAGCCCCCAAGUAGGCUUGGCAAGUAUGCCGAUCAAGUGGGUAUCGACAGCUAUGUUCUCUUUGGUUCGGAUAUGACCUAUGUUUGAACAGGAAGCCCCCAAGUGAUCAUGGCUAGAUUCAGAUAUGAUCAUAAGCCGGACCAAAGGUAAAACCGGAUUCAGAUUUGAUCCGGUCCCUAUUGGUUGUUUCCACCACCUGACAAAAAGGACAUAUACACUUUUUUGAGGGUGAAAAAAGGACAGAGGUCCUGCUUUAUUACUUUAUAUAAUAUGUACUUUGUCAAAAAACAUAUAUAUCAUAAGAGCCGGUGGCUCAAGUAUAGUAAAACCAAAGAUGGGUUAUAUCCCAACAGCCGAAUAUCACUUAGCAAGGCCGCCUAGACUCCAUAGACUAUGAAGAAAGGUGUAUAACCCGCCGCAUCGAGGCCACUUACCCUUAUGCCUCUGAUUGUUACCUUGUGUAUUAACGUUAGCCACAAGUUCCGGGUUGUCAUCCGCUUUACGCUUAUUGCUAUUUUGUUUCUCCGGGUUGUGCUGUUGGCCCUUUCUACUGUCAUUCCGUUUUCCCUUCCCUGUCGUUUCACCGUCAGACUCGGGAUCCUUAGUACUAUCAGAAUCGGCAUAUUUGACCAGAGCCGCCAUUAGCGUACCCAUAUCCUUGCAGUCACGUUUAAGGCGCCCCAAUUUCUGCUUUAGCGGCUUGAAGCUGCAAUUCUUUUCCAAUAUAAGGGCUGCAGAGCCGGCAUCCAUCUUAUCAGAUGAAUAAAUUAUCUCCUUGACCCGGCAUACCCAAUGGGUGGUAGAUUCACCCUCCCCCUGCUUACAAUUUGUCAAGUCCACGACCGUCAUAGAUUGCUUACAGGUGUCUUUGAAGUUUCGGAUGAAACAGGCCUUUAACUCCUCCCAUGAACCAAUGGAAUUAGGUGGUAAACCUUUUAGCCAAGACCAGAUCGUUCCAUCUAACAUCAUGGUGAAAUAUUUAGCCAUUGCCGCGUCACUGACCUCCAACAGUUCCAUGGCCAUCUCAUAACUCUCGAUACAUGCUUCAGGCUGUAAGUCGGCCGUGUAAUUCGGCACCUUUCGAGGUCCCUUGAAAUCUUUGGCCAGGUGCACAUUGCGCAAAGCCGGUACCAAACAAGAAAAGCCACCGGCUCUCAGUAGGAGUCGUUGAAUAUUCCGGCAUAUCCUGAUGUGCCAUCUGUUGAGCUGCCAGCUGAGCCGCUCGCUCUUUCUCCCAACGUACUCGAUCUUACAUCGGGUUAUAGCCUCCACGUUGGUCACAGUGUUGGACAUCGCACGACAAAACUUCAGAUCCUAUGUGCCUGAUGUAAUUCUGACUCUGGUUCUGACUAGGUGGUGCCAUCCAAGGUGGAGGAUCUGAAUGAAACCUCUCCCGAUUAUAAGAAUAGAUCUCUUGCUGAGCCAAGGCUGUCUGAACGAGUUCCCUGAUCCUCCAGGUCUCCACCGCUGUUGGGUCAUCGCCAUCCACUGGAAGAGCCGCCAGACGCGCUGAUGCUGCGAUUAAAUUCUCCAUGGGGUUGGAAAAGUGUCUCGGCGGUAUUGGCACAUAACGUGACGGUUCCAUGCUCCUUUGAGGAGGUGGCAUCUCCCGAUGCUGAGCCAGUUCUCCCGCUCCGAGUGCCAUAAACUGAUCAGCAUCGGGCGGGUUACUUGGGCCGGCUCUGGGUGUAGCAAAAAGAACCCUAGGGUCAUAACUCGUAGGCAAACGGGAUUGAGUCUUCUGGUGUCUCCUCCUCAUUACUUCAUUGGACGCAUUUAAACUCAUUGUGAGCUGAUAAGCCACUGACUGCAACCGUUGCGCCCGGGCGUCGAGAGCCGCCCGCUCCAUAGCUAGCCUAGUAUCCUCAGCUGCUAAGGCCUCCUUGGCCUGAGCUAUCUCCUCACGUACCUGUGCUACCUCCGCGUCAUGCUCAUCUUUGUUUGCAGGGAUAACCGUGGCGGUUAACAAGGUCAUAAGCUUUUCCAUGAGGUCUAUCAGCACUUGAGCCGGCGGGCGCACAGAGCCUCCUGCCCCAGUUGCUCCUAACCCGGAAGUGAUUGCGGCCGCUGCUAUAGAAUUUGGUCCGGGUUGAGUCCCAGCCAUAAAGACUCCUGCCGAAUUUGGCGACUCACAGAGGUCCGGAAUACUAAGGCCAUCGGAAUAGCCCGAGCGCACCAUCUUGAACUUGAUACAAAGAAUUUGUUGAACCUGUGGACGAAUCACCUUCAGAGAGGACGGCCGUCUCACCACCAUCUUCAGGACCUUCAGAAAGCUCUUCUCCGUGGACGCAGCCCACAAAGACACACUUCAUGCCGGGUUGAACUCGAGCGGGUUUUGCACGCUGAGCCGUCUCGACGAGGUCGGUGCAGUUGUCCGGCUCAGGCCCCGGCUCACCAAUCCAGCCGAUAAAGACGUGGAUCCCUCCAAAGGGGACCCGGUACCCGUACUCAAUUGAGCCGGCAUCGGGGCCCCAGCCUUCGUCGUUGAUGUAGAUCUUUCCGCGACGACUUUUGGUCAUCCGGCCCACUAUGUAUCCCUUGAGCCCUUCGAAGUUGCCCUUCAAGAACUCAAAUCCACCGUGCGCUGGCCCCACGGUGGGCGCCAACUGUCGUGGAAUUGUCACGUCAGAUGUCCUCGUGAAAGGACUUAGUUGUGGAGCCAUCGCAACUAGGAAGCUUGAAGGGGUUAAACGGGACAAAGGACACGAGAGGGUUUAUACUAGUUCGGCCCCUUACGGUGAAGGUAAGGCCUACGUUUAGUUGGUUUGGUAUUGAUGUUUCGAUGACCAGGGAGCGAGAUAUGCUAUGCCUGGCUCUCGAUGAGUUGUUUCCUUUUCUAAACCGCCAGCGGGUCGUCCCCUUAUAUACACGGGUCGACGCCCUACGGCUUACAGAGUCCCGGCCGGCUCAUAAACAAUGUCCGGCUCGGUGACUAGUUAAGCCUACCUUAUGAUACAAGUAAUAUUAUUACAGCGGGUUACUACAACGGGCCUUAAGUCGCCUGCGGGCCUUAAGCUCUCUAUGAACCGCCAUCUUCAUACUUUGUCUUGGGCUUCUCUCUGGUGAGUCCUCUUUGCAUAACCCGGCCCCUCCUGGGCGGCUUACACAAACAGUUAUAUCCCCAACAGAGGCCCAACACAAGUCUACAAGAAUAAAUUUGCCGAGUAGACAUCACACAUGUCCAAAGAUGCCUGGCCCCACGCAUCAGUAACUGAGCAGGUAAAGGUCGACUACUUUGACCCGAUGGAAAGGCUCUAUUUGGGCUUUUCUGAACAUGGGGCAAGUGGUGGAGGGGAAAAGUGAGAAAGUUAGAGGCCAUGAGUCAAAUUGAACACAACUAAGGAACCGAGGGCAGAUAGAUAAAAAUCCCUAAGUUUAAUUCCCUAAAGUCAAUUAUCACUACAAAAUAUUUACUAGGUUCAGUUUGGUUCACUAAGUCAUAUUGCAAAAGUCUAUUCAAUUUAAAUCGAAGGUUUCAAAGUUAUAAACAAUCAUGUUUGAAUUUAAUUCAAAUUAUUAAAUUCCCUAAAGUCAAUAAUAAUCCCCAAAACAUUUACUAAAGUUCAUUUUAAUUUUCUAAACUUAGUUGCAACUUAUCCUAAUAAACUCUUUAGGUUCAAAUAUUGUUUGAAUUAUAACUUCUGCUAAAAUAUAUUCAAUUUCAGUAUUAUAUUAUUUUAAAAUUGAACCACAGUAGCUAUGUUCAAAAUAUAUUCCACUAGGUUCAUUCUGCAAAAAUAAUCAAUUCAUUUGGAUUUAUAAAUUGCAAGUUAUGCCCAAUUCAAAUUUGAAUUCAUUCUACUUGAAUUUGAAUUUGAACUAUUCAAUAGUUCAUUAUUAUUGGACUAGGUGAAAGUGCAUUUCUUGAGGAUCAUUUUGAAAAAAGAAUUACUCAAUUUGGAUUUACAGAUAAAAAGUUGUGAGUGUUUGCAAUUGUAUGGAGUUUUCUGUAAAUCUGCCAUUUAGUUCAAUUUAACAAAAAUUCGAGUCGAUAAUGUUUUGGACCAGGUGGGAGACGUGGAAGUUUCCUAUUGGCUGAUGCCGAUUCAGUUUAAGUGGACUGAUGUGGUGCGUGCGAUCUAGAUCUAACGGUCCAAAUUAGAUCUAGGGAUUAGGGUCUCGGUGGCCCACCGCAAUCUCGCCGGAGAGUCAGCGAAAAACACGCACAUAGUGGUGCUGUGCUCGGGAGUUGUUGGAUAUAGAGUUCCAGGGGUUUCAGGGGCAGCAAAGAGCAUAGAUGGGCUCAGCGUGGCUCGAGAAGGUCAGAGGUAGCGUCGGCUGGCCUUGAGGGUGACGCAGACGAGCGGGGCGAGCUCAUCGAAGUUCGGUUACACUGACAGGGCUUCGGGUGAUGAAGCGGUGCUCUAAAUCAAGUGCCUAUGGAUGAACGAAAUGGAUCAGAAGACGCACGUAUUCAAGGGGAACACAAUGGACUAGGAUCACGAGGCAAGCCACUCAUAGUGAUCACCGGAGUCGAGCUCACAACGACGGUGAGGCUCGGACUUCAUUGAAGUCGGGCGUAGAGGGAUCUCAGGUCGUCGCGAAGAUGUCCAGGGGUGCACCAUGGUGCGGGGAAUCGAGUGGUGGCUUUGGUUGGCCUCGGGUGACUGUACUCGCUGGAAUCGACGCUAGAGUUUCUAAGUCAGUGGCCGAGCUCGGGGGUUCACCGGCGAGGAGCCUGGUGGCAAUGUGAGGGGCAGCUGAGGGGAAAUGGAGAGGGCUCUAGGGCUAUUUGAUGGACAUGGAGGCAGGAGCUGGCCUGGACGGUGGGCUCGUGAGGUGGAGAUCGUGGCCGAUGUGUACACGUGGGGCAGUUGGAGGUUAGGGAUGAACCUAACCAGUGGGCCCCGCUGAUCAGCGACGGGAGAGAGAGGGUGCGCGUGGGGCUUGGCUGCGGCUGCCUUAGUUGGGUCGGCCUAGCUAGCUAGCUUGGCUGGGCCUUUUUAUUUUUUAAUUCCUUUCCCCUUUUUUGUUUUUUUGUUUUGUCUUUGCCUUUUCAUUUGAAUUUGAAUUUGAUUUUUCAUCCCAAAGAAAAAUUUCUCUAAAUUCAAAUAUUUUGUGAGUGUGCCAACAUUUUAUUUGGCCCUUCUGAGCAUACGUUUUCUGCACUUUAUUUUCCAUCUUGAAUAUCAAUUUGGUUUAAAGCCAAAUAUGUUUGAAAUCCAAUUUGGAAAAUUUGGCAUAAGGUCAAGAUUAUUAUUUGGACGUAUGGGAUUCACUUUCUUGCCAAAUAAAUGCAAAUCCACCUUUUUAUAAAAAACCCCAUUUGAUUUUUGAAUUGAUUCCAAUCAAUCAAUCAUUUAGGGAAAUUUAUUAGGGAUUUAUUAUCAUCUAGGUCUUGCUAAGGAUAACCUGUGGCACACCGGCUCAGAGAGACCGGUUUACCUUGCAUUGCCAACCCAGAGACCUUGUCUUCUGGCAACACACAACAACAUGGUACAGAAAACAACCGCUUUAUUCAUGCUAGUGGAACAUAGUUCAUAUUACAACAGUUAGCGAGGCCAAGCGGCACAAACGGUGCGGCUGAACAAUAUGUACAUUAUUUAGUGAACAUAAAGGGGCCUUGAUCAUGACAACUACUCGGCAGCGGAACAACGUCGUAGCGGGACUCCAUAGCACAAGGACACCGACGUGGACACGGUCUAGACUCGGACAGCACUCCUUUCCAACAGGACUUGCAAGCUCACAAUAAGCAUAAACAAGAUGACAAACAAUAUUAUGAUAUUUAUCCAAUUAAUCAACAAUGCAACUAUAUAUCCAACAUGCUGUGACUGUGCUCAACAGGUACUCAUUCUCCCGACUUGCUUACCAGGUGUGACCAAUAAACAUAAUAUUACCGAAACAUACUCGUGAUCCUUACGGCGAUCACAACCCGACCAUCUCAUGGCACGUGAUACUUAUGGCGAUCACAACCCGACCAACUCGUGGCCCAUGAUCCUUACGGCGAUCAAAACCCAACAACUCAUGUCCAACUCAACACGAUGACCUCACUGCCAUCCUUAGUGCAAUUUAGUGUGCAUAUUUAUUAAGUGUUGACCCAUGGUGUACCUUACUUUCGAGCGUGUCUGUAUCCGUGGACUCGGCUAUCGAUAGAUUAAAAACACUCUGCAGAGGUUAGUACACUGUACCCACACUACGGAACCCAUGGCCUCGCACUCCCAUUCGGGUGGACCAACAGUGUUCCGACGAAACCAUUUCACUGUCAUGACACUCUCCCGGCCCUUCCGACUCAUACCUCAUCGGGCUAGUCCUGGGUGGCCCCGUGUCUACCUCCAGACACCUCGACCACCGUUGUGGCCACGAUCCACACUGGGAUCUGGUACCAAAAUUAACUUAACAACGGGCUCACAAGGUUAUGCUUGCCUACCGGGCCAGGGUACAGCACACCCAUAACCUUCCCUAAAUUGAAGUACCGACCAGAGGCACGACAAUGAAACGCAUUAAGGCCGUCCCAUACCGACAAAUGUGGUUGCACUGGGAAAGACUCAUUUCAGCGGCACCACGACCCGGUCAACAACAUGUUCAAGUUGAAGUAUUAAUCAGGUUCAACUUAAUGUGAAAAGAAAAUAACCGAUGUCGUACUGCCAUACCAUGCAUCACUUAACAUAUGCAUCACAUAACCGUGCAAAGACUGCACCAACCACGCUCCUACAGAGCCAUCAUAAACUCAUGCUACUAUACUGGUUAAACCUCUAUUUACUUAUACCAGAACUAUUUCUAGCAUUAUCAUCACUAUACCUCAUGCAACAAUAAUAUUUAAAUUACUCAUCAAACUCUAUGACCAUAUUAUUUAUUGAUCACUUGCAACUAAGUUCUCCUUAUCUUGCCAACAAUAUUUACUUCAAACAUUCUGAAGUUCAAGUAUUUGAACAUAACAAGCAUAUAGCAGAAUAUAUUUAUUAUAUAACUAAUUUAAAUGCAUCAGUAUUCAUAAGUUCAAGUAUGAAAAUCAUAAAUAUUGAAGUGGCACCAUGAAAAUGUUACUGUGGCUUGCCUUAGCACUAAUGAGCUUCACAAAGCUCCUGGUGAUCCUCAAGACAAGCUGGUUCCUCUGAAAAUAUUCAAAAACCACAAAUGAAAAUAUCAAGAAACAUUCUGAAAAUUGCCAGAAAAUCUAGACAGCAAGGAAAAAUCCCAUCUUUUGGGUGCUGUUAGAUUUUUGGACACAGAACACGAUGCAAAAAGAAUCACUGCAUUUGGACUUGUAGAAUAAAAGUUAUGGAAUUUGAAGUCUCCUAGAAUUUAAAUGAAUUUGAAAAAGAAAAACAGAGGGGGGUGACGUCGAAGGCGUAAUCUCCCAGGGCGCCACCACUCAUACCGCUUCGCGUGCGUAGUGAGUGGCUGACUAGCGGGCCCCGCUAGUCAGGCCAGAGGGAGGGGAGAGGGAAACAAAGGGGAACGGCGAUUCACCGGAGCUCACGCCGGUGAUGAGACUUCUUGGAGGCAAACGAGAGGGAGGGAUCGGCGGAGAAGGUUCUUGCGCACCUGCCCGUACCCGUAGUGUGGCUAACGAUGGCUGGACGACGUCGGAUUUGUCCUCACCAGCGGUGACAGAGGGUGGAGGUUGCCGGAGUUGAAGAAGACAACGGCUUGGGGCGGCUCCAGGGGCUCUAGCUAGGCGCGUUGGCUUCACGGAGGAGAGGCGGAGGCCCUGGCGGGGUCGCCUUUGCUUGGGAGUGGCCAGAGCUGCGGGAACGAUCCAGAGGGGAUCGCCGGCAAGCUCAGCUCGGGGACGGCAGCCUGCGGCCUGCCCAACCGGGCUGCGGAUUCUAGUGGCUAUAGGAGGGAGAGGGGGUGAUAUGCGAUGCUCCAAGAGGCUGCAGAGGGGAGGUUUUAUAGGCGGGGCGGCGAGGAGGGCUCGGGCUCCGCUGGAGGACACCUGUCCCUGGCGCCCGACGACGAACGGUGCUAGAGGGCAAUGGAGAAGGCGACGGAGGUCACGCAACAACUGUGCGCGGGCGCGGACGAGCACAGGAACGAGGGGGAAAGAGACGAACACAGUGCGCGGGCACUGUGCCGUUGCCCGGACCGUGCCUGUGCUUGCUGCGGCGACCUCCGGCGUCGGCGAGUGGCUAGGUGGAGUUAUGGGGGUGGAGACGAGGAUGGUGGCGAGGGGGGACACGCUCUGGCUAGCCGAGCAGCGAGCACGCGCUCCACAGAGGCGCUGGCGACACGCAGAGCGCGCGUUUGGCAUGCCAGCCCGCUCAGACGAACGCGGUCACCGCAUGGACCGUGACAUCAUGCCACCUAUGCACUAACCAUGAUGUGUGGCGUGUAGUACUUGGUAAACUGAGGUGUUACCAUGGCUCGGUUUGGUUCUAGGUGCAGUAGAAGUAAAAUAGUGAUGAGGUUAAGUUACUGGACAGAAACUUUGGGGAGUUACUAUGGUCAAACCACAUGGUUUCAAUGGCUGAGCUUUGGGGUUUUACUGACUCUUACUAAGGUGAAUAAGCUCAGGGAAAACCAGCUACAUUGGAGCUAGUAAAAAGGUAGUUGCUGUAGAAACAACUAUUUCAGCCCAAAAGUGAAAUUAUUUUCUGUAGCCAAAAUACUCCAAAGAGUGGUGAAAUAUUUUUGCUCAGAAAUAUGCCCUAGGGUCGAAAGAAUAUUUGGGAUUUUUCUCAGGAUUUUUGGGGCAACAGAAAUGAGGGUUGCUUUGGAGGUCAAGGAGUUUAGCUAGGGUUUUAGAGGCAAAAUGAAUAUUUUUCAUUUAAGAAAAAUAUUCCAAGCAAUAUUGUUGGGUUGGCCAGGGGUGAAAUGAUGGAUUUGAGGAGGAGAGGGAACAUUUGGGUGAAAAUCAAAGGAUACCCAAGUGGUCAAGUCCAAAUGGAAAGAUUCAAAACUCCAAAUCCAAAAUCAACUCAGCUGAAAAUCAAGCAAAGAAAAGAGGGAAAAACCAGGCUAUGACAAACCUCCCCCACUUAGAAUGAAUCUCGUCCUCGAGAUUUGGUUGCUUGGGAAAACCAUUCUGGAUAACAUGCCCUUAGAAAUUCUUCUGAUUCCCAGGUUGAUUCUGACUCGGUAUGAUGCAUCCAUUGAACCUUGUAAAACUUCCAUGACUUACUGUGAGUGACCCUUUCCAUCUGAUCCAAAAUUUUCACUGGCCUCUCUUCGUAGGUCAGGUCCUUUUCUAGAUCUAUCUCUGCCAAAUUGGUCUUUUUCUCAGGUGGUGAGAUGCACCGUCGCAAUUGUGAAACGUGGAACACAUUGUGCACGUCGAACAGUUCUGGAGGCAGCUCCAACUGAUAUGCCACAGCACCUGGGUGCCAAUUUUCCACGGGUUUGGAACCUUUUUAUUCCCUUCGUGGGUGUGACUCGAAGGUAGACAUGUUCUCUGGGUUCAAAACUAAUCUGCAAGUGCUUUGCAUCGUAAUAACUUUUCUGUCGUGAUUUGGCCAGUUGUAAUCUGUCUCGGAUCUCCUUGACUUGCUUUUCGGCUUCCAGCAUGAGAUAUGUUCCGAAAAUACGGCUAUCUCCGGUUUAAGACCAAUUUAAUGGGGUGCGGCACUUACGGCCAUACAAAGCUUCAUAAGGCGGCAUCUUUAAACUGGUCUGGAACCCAUUGUUAUACGAGAACUCGGCAUACGACAAGCAAUCUUCGCAUUGUGGUCCUUGGGCUAAAACACAGGCUCGAAGCAUAUCUUCGAGUAUCUGAUUUACUCUUUCCGUUUGCCCAUCCGUCUGAGGAUGAUAAGCGGUGUUGUAUUUUAAUUCCGUUCCAAGGGCUUGAUGGAGACGGGUCCAGAAAGCAGAGGUGAAAAGUGAACCUCGGUCAGUAGUGAUGGUUUGGGGAACUCCAUGUAAACUGACAAUCCUGGAUACAUACAGUCGGGCAAGCUCAUCUGCUCGGUAUGAGGUUUUGACUGGGAGGAAGUGGGCCACCUUGGUUAAUGUAUCCACUAUGACCCAAAUUGCAUUAUUGCCUCAUCGGGUCCUGGGUAAUCAUGUGAUGAAAUCCAUACAGACAUCGUCCCAUUUCCACUGUGACACGGGCACUGGUUGGAGAAGUCCAGCUGGUUUCUGGUAUUCUACCUUAACUUUGUUGCAUAUGUCGCAACAGGCCACGAAAUAAGCAAUGUCUUUCUUCAUUCCAUUCCACCAAAAAAUUUGUUGAAGGUCUUCAUACAUUUUUGUGCCUCCAGAGUGGAUUGAAUACGAGGAUUCGUGGGCUUCUGACAAAAUUUUCUGCUUUAGGUCAGCUUGAUUGGGCACGCAAAUCCUUCCCCUGAAGCGGAGGGUACCGUACUGAUCCUUCGAGAAAUCGGAUGGCUUGAUGCGUUUCUGCAGAUCGGCAUCGCCUGGCUAGGCCUUGCGGAUUUCUUCCUCAAGAGUAGGGGUGACCGUCAGAAUAUUGGCAAGGCCAGCCUCAACUAUGACCAGGUUGAGCUGGGCAAUUUCUUCUUUGAGUUCGGAGGGCAGAGAUUCUAGCAUGACAUUUAAACUGACGGGCUUUCGACUGAGUGCAUCGGCAACCACGUUGGGCUUACCCGGAUGGUAAUUUAUUCCAAGAUCAUAAUCCUUGACGAACUCCAUCCAUCUUCGCUGACGGAGGUUUAAAUCCGGCUGAGUAAAUAUGUAUUUGAGACUUUAGUGGUCGGUAAAAAUUUGGCACCUUUUUCCAAUGAGGUAGUGUCUCCAAAUUUUUAAAGCAUGAACUACCGCGGCCAAUUCCAAAUCAUGAGUGGGGUAAUUUCCUUCAUGGGGUCGUAGCUGCCGUGAGGCGUAGGCUACUACCUUGCCAUCUUGCAUAAGCACGCACCCCAGUCCUUGUCGGGAGGCGUCGCAAUAUACGUCAAAGCUGCGGUAGAUAUCUGGAAGUGUUAAUACUGGCGCAGUUGUUAAGGGCUUCUUUAACUUGGUGAAACUUUUCUCACAGUCUGACGUCCAUUCAAACUUCUUGUCCUUUUUAAGCAACUCCGUCAUGGGCUUAGCAAUCUUGGAGAACCCUUCAAUGAAACGACGGUAGUAUCCGGCUAAUCCAAGAAAACUCCGGAUCUGAGACACGGUGGCGGGUGGCAACAAGUCGAGCACGUCUUUUACUUUGCUUAGGUCCAUGGCUCUUCCUUCAGCGGAUAGCACAUGCCCGAGGAAUCCAACUUGCUUGAGCCAAAACUCGCAUUUACUAAACUUGGCGUACAACUGGUGCUCACGGAGUCGUUGUAACACUGCUCGGAGGUGUCCUUUAUGCUCUUCUUCACUUCUUGAGUAAAUAAGUAUAUCAUCGAUGAAGACGACCACGAACUUAUCAAGGAAAUCCAUGAAUACUUUGUGUGCAUGAAGAAGGCGGGGGCGUUGGUGAGGCCGAAGGACAUGACGGUAUAUUCAUAAAGACCGAAGCGACUGGUGAACGCAGUCUUGGGAAUAUCCUCCUUUUUAAUUUUGAGCUAGUAAUAUCCAGUCCGCAAAUCAAUCUUUGAGAAUACCUUUGCUCCACUGAGCUGAUCGAACAAAUCAUCAAUUCUUGGCAGAGGGUAUUUGUUUUUGAUUGUGACAUCAUUCAACUGUCGUUAGUCCACACACAUAUGAAGGCUGCCAUCUUUCUUGUCCACAAAAAUAGCAGGUGAUUCCCAUGGCGAGGAACUGGGGCGGAUAUACCCUUUUUGGAGCAUUUCAUCGAGCUGUUUCUUUAGCUCUACCAAUUCAGAUGACGACAUUCGAUAAUAUUUCUUGUGUAUUGGUGUGGUUCCGGCAGAAGUUCUAUUGCAAACUCAAGCUCUCGGUCAGGGUGCAUGCCUGGCAAUUCUUCUGGGAAUACAUCAGGAAACUCACUGACCACCAGAAUUAAUUCCGUUUCUGCUAUUGCUGUAAAAACCAUUUCCUUGGAGGGUAUGCUUCUACGAGCAAUAAACUUGGUAGCUUGUCCAUCUUGUCCGGUCAAGUUGACUUCUCGGGUCGCACAAUUUAUGCAUACUUGGUACUAAGCCAGCCAAUUCAUACCCAAGAUAACAUCCAAUUUAUCAGACUCAAUCAAUAUAAAAGACGUCGGGAAACGGAUUUCGUUGAUACUGACUUCCAGAUUGCAGCAGACAAGAUUGCAUUGAAUGAUAGAUCCCGGGGUUUGUACCAGCAUAUUCUUGCCCAAAAGUGAACAAGGAAAUUUGUUUUGGGCGAUAAAACUCUGAGAAAUAAAAGAGUGGGAAGCCCCAGAGUCAAAUAAAAUUACUGCAGGUAUGUUACUAACAGGGAACAUACCAAUGACGACUUAGGGAUUUUCUUGGGCUUCGCCGGCUGAAAUAUGAUGAACAUAUCCCGUGACGUCGUGCUGACUUGGACCGACUUCCAAAUAAUGGAUUUGAGGCUUGAACGUAGCAUUGGUCCGGUUGUUCUUGGGACACUGUUUGGCAUAAUGUUUGGUUUGUCCGCAACUAUAACAGGAAUUGUUGCGCAGGCGAUUCUCCAUAACCGGGUUGAGCACGUCAUUCUUCACUUGGGUGGUGGUCUUGUUAACAUUUUGUUGCCAACUAGGCUGGUACGCCACCGGAGUUGGCUGCCAGGUACGAACCUUCUGCACUGGUUGCAUUUCCUUCUUGGGCUCAAACUUGCAUUUGUGAUCGUUAUGGGCAGACUUAUUAUCUGACAUGAGCUUGUGUUCCCUUUCAGCAAUGAAAGCCUUGUUCACCAGGGUUUGGAAAUCUGGAAAAUUGAACACAUUGAGAGCACAGCGAAGUUGCAGGUUUAAUCCCCCAAGAAAUCGGUCCAUCUUCCUUUCCUCAGUGGCCACGUCAUAUUGAGAGUAACGUGACAGGUGAUUGAAUUUUUGUAAAUAUUCUGCCACUGAUUGACUUCCUUGGAGGAGCGUGAGAAAUUCACGCUGCUUAGUCUUCAUAAUUCCCACAGGGAUGUGAUAUUUUUGGAAUUGCUCCUUGAAUCUUGACUAGGUAAUUGCUUCAUUCUCAGUCCCUAUGGUUUCUCACUUUCCCACCAUAUGGCAGCAACGCCUUCCAGAUAAUGUGUUGCAAAUGGAACUUUAUCCUCUUCAUCAGUUCGAGCAACCUCAAGUUUCUUUUCCAUAGUUCUUAACCAAUCAUCUGCAUCCAAGGGAUCAAUGGCCUGACUGAAACUGGGAGGCUUAGUCCUUUGAAAAUCAGAUAGCUUGGACUAAGAGGCAGGCUGAUUUCCAUUCUGUCCAACCAUUGCUUGAAUACUUCUGAAUAUUUCCAUUAGAUCAUUGUUUCAUCGUUCCUCGAACAUAUGCAUAAUUUGCUCGGUGGAGGGCGGAUUUGGCGGUGGAGGCGGUGGUGGAACGUACGGCUCGAGUGAUUGUCUUGCCUGUCGUGCAGAACACCGAACAGGAGAACCCUCGCGACGUUGCUACUGUAGCCUCCCCAAGUCAAUGCAACCGAGAUGAGAAACAUUCAACAAAAACUGGGGAGAAGCUAGCAACAAAAACCAAGCGAAAUCGAAAAGACGAAGAAAAUACGUCGAAUAAAAUAAAGUCCAACAUCAUUAUACAUAGACUCAUACAUGAAAGAUAACAACAUGCCAGGUCCAACUACCCUCAUACAUGAAACGAAACAUCAUGACUAGUACGACUACAUCCAUACUCCAUCCUGACAAUUGAGAAUACUCGAAAGCUCUACUACUCGGCUGGCGCUGCGGGGUCCUCUCCUAAUGCAGACUCGGAUCCAGAACUGACGGGGUUAAUGGAGACCUCCGGGUUAAAAGUGACACGGCGACACUACCUCGAGGGCUCUCCCUCUGGGGCAGGUGGAGGGUGGAUCAUCGGGGCUGCAAGAGUGGCGAGGAGUGAAACCCACUCGGCAGGAGCACUAAGUGGACUCGUAGUCGCGGUGCCCGAGCUACUCGGGGGAGUAACCGGAGAAACAGGGGAUCUAGAACUGGCAGGAACGUAGGAAAUAAAUCCCACAGAUGGAGAAGUAGUGGCUGAGCGAGCAGAGACUAAAGUAGAGGCUAAAGCAGUACGAGCACGACUCAGCUCACGAGCCAGCUCAUAGAUAAGAAGAUAGCUAGAAGUGAUGUAAGGAGAAAGGUGGCUAGCUACACUAUCAGACUCCGGAUCAAUGACAGGGAAACGGACACGACCAUUAUCGUGGAGAGAAGGGUAGUAAUGGAAACCUGGGUGAUUCUGCAUCCGGACCUUGUUGUAGCGGAGCUCAACAAGUACCUUGAAUGCAGCAAACUAGACACCCUGAGAAGCGGAAGAAGCAUAGCCGCUACGAGAGGUACGAGUGUAAGAACCAGAAUCGGAACUGGUGCGCAGAGUAACCACAGCAUGAUACUCAUACACUGAGUCAACUAGGCGCUCCCGGUACACACGAUAGACUGGAUCGUCUCCGUGAGGGUACAGCCGAUGCCACACAUUACGAAGGAGAUGCGGUGACGUGUACGGCAUCAGCUGCAACUGGCACGGAUACAGCACCGGAGCCAUCUACACUCACAACCAAUAGCAGGUUAGCGUAGAAAAAAUAUAAUCAGUGCAAGCAAUGCAACAACCAGCUACAGUUAUUACCAACACUCAGCUACAACUCAUAUCUAGCGUCCAGUUAACUCGGCUUAGUCUAGCAUGGCCUACAGUCAGCGCGGCUCUGAUACCAAGCGUUGUGGCACCCCGGCUCAGAGCGACCGGUUUACCUUGCAUUGCCAGCCCAGAGACCUUGUCUUCUGGCAACACACAACAACAUGGUACAGAAAACAACCGCUUUAUUCAUGCUAGCGGAACAGAGUUCAUAUUACAACAGUUAGCGAGGCCAAGCGGCACACAUGGUGCGGCUAAACAAUAUGUACAUUAUUUAGUGAACAUAAAGGGGCCUCGAUCAUGACAACUACUCGGCAGCGGAACAACGUCGUAGCGGGACUCCAUAGCACAAGGACACCGACGUGGACAUGGUCUAGACUCGGACAGCACUCCUUUCCAAUGGGACUUUCCUGAAAUCAGGCAUGACACGUCAGGUCAGUACAUUGAAUGUACUUGCAAGCUCAGAAUAAGCGUAAACAAGAUGACAGACAAUAUUAUGAUAUUUAUCCAAUUAAUCAACAAUGCAACUAUAUAUCCAACAUGUUGUGACUGUGCUCAAUAGGUACUCAUUCUCCCGACUUGCUUACCAGGUGUGACCAACAAACAUAAUAUUACCAAAACAUACUCGUGAUCCUUACGGUGAUCACAACCCGACCAUCUCAUGGCCCGUGAUCCUUACGGCGAUCACAACCCGACCAACUCGUGGCCCGUGAUCCUUACGGCGAUCACAACUCGACAACUCCUAUCCAACUCAACACGAUGACCUCACUGCCAUCCUUAGUGCAAUUUAGUGUGCAUAUUUAUUAAGUGUUGACCCAUGGUGUACCUUACUUUCGAGCGUGUCCGCAUCCGUGGACUCGGCUAUCGAUAGAUAAAAACACUCUGCAGAUGUUAGUACACUGUACCCACACUACGGAACCCAUGGCCUCGCACUCCCAUUAGGGUGGACCAACAACGUUCCGACGAAACCAUUUCACUGUCAUGACACUCUCCUGGCCCUUCCAACUCAGACCCCACCGGGCUAGUCCUGGGUGGCCCCGUGUCUACCUCCAGACACCUCGACCACCGUCGUGGCCACGAUCCACACUGGGAUCCGGUACCAAAAUUAACUUUACAACGGGCUCACAAGGUUAUGCCUGCCUACCGGGCCAGGCUACAACACGCCCAUAACCUUCCCUAAAUUGAGGUACCGACCAGAGGCACGACAAUGAAACGCAUUAAGGCCGUCUCAUACCGACAAAUGUGGUUGCACUAGGAAAGACUCGUUUCAGCGGCACCACAACCCGGUCAACAACAUGUUCAAGUUGAAGUAUUAAUCAGGUUCAACUUAAUGUGAAAAGAAAAUAACCGGUGUCAUACUGCCAUACCAUGCAUCACUUAACAUAUGCAUCACAUAACCGUGCAAAGACUGCACCAACCACGCUCCUACAGAGUCAUCAUAAACUCAUGCUACUAUACUGGUUAAACCUCUCUUUAUUUAUACCAGAACUAUUUCUAGCAUUAUCAUCAUUAUACCUCAUGCAAAAAUAAUAUUUAAAUUACUCAUCAAACUCUAUGACCAUAUUAUUUAUUUAUCGCUUGCAACUAAGUUCUCCUCAUCUUGCCAACAAUAUUUACUUCAAACAUUCUGAAGUUCAAGUAUUUUAACAUAACAAGCAUAUAACAGAAUAUAUUUAUUAUAUAACUAAUUUAAAUGCAUCAAUAUUCAUAAGUUCAAGUAUGAAAAUCAUAAAUAUUGAAGUGGCACCAUGAAAAUGUUAUUGUGGAUUGCCUUAGCACUGAUGAGGUUCACAAAUCUCCUGGUGAUCCUCAAGACAAGCUGGUUCCUCAGAAAAUAAUCAAAAACCACAAAUGAAAAUAUCAAGAAACAUUCUGAAAAUUGCCAGAAAAUCUAGACAGUAAGAAAAAAUCCCAUCUUUUGGGUGUUGUUCGAUUUUUGGACACAGAACACGAUGCAAAAAAGAAUCACUGCAUUUGGACUUGUAGAAUAAAAGUUAUGGCCAUUUGAAGUCUCCUGGAAUUUAAAUGAAUUUGAAAAAGAAAACAGAGGGGGGUGACGUCGAAGGCGUAAUCUCCCGGGGCGCCACCACUCAUACCGCUUCGCGCGCGUAGUGAGUGGCUGACUAGCGGGCCCCGCUAGUCAGGCCAGAGGGAGGGGAGAGGGAAAUAGAGGGGAACGGCGAUUCGCCGGAGCUCACGCCGGUGAUGGGACUUCUUGGAGGAAAACGAGAGGGAGGGAUCGGCGGAGAAGGUUCUUGUGCACCUGCCCGUACCCGUAGCAUGGCUAACGGUGGCCGGACAGCGUCGGAUUUGUCCUCUCCAGCGGCGACAGAGGGUGGAGGUUGCCGGAGUUGAAGAAGACGGCGGCUUGGGGCGGGUCCAGGGGCUCUAGCUAGGCGUGUUGGCUUCAUGGAGGAGAGGCAGAGGCCCUGGCGUGGUGGCCUUGGCUUGGGAGUGGCCGGAGCUGCGGGAACGAUCCAGAGGGGAUCGCCGGCGAGCUCUGCUCGGGGACGGCAGCCCGCGGCCUGCCCUGCUGGGCUGCGAAUUCUAGUGGCUAUAGGAGGGAGUGGGGGUGAUAUGCAAUGCUCCNNNNNNNNNNNNNNNNNNNNNNNNNNNNNNNNNNNNNNNNNNNNNNNNNNNNNNNNNNNNNNNNNNNNNNNNNNNNNNNNNNNNNNNNNNNNNNNNNNNNNNNNNNNNNNNNNNNNNNNNNNNNNNNNNNNNNNNNNNNNNNNNNNNNNNNNNNNNNNNNNNNNNNNNNNNNNNNNNNNNNNNNNNNNNNNNNNNNNNNNNNNNNNNNNNNNNNNNNNNNNNNNNNNNNNNNNNNNNNNNNNNNNNNNNNNNNNNNNNNNNNNNNNGGGUUAUAGGCGAGGCGGCGAGGAGGGCUCGGGCUCCGCCGGAGGACACAUGUCCCCGGCGCCCGGUGACGAACAGUGCCAGAGGGCGAUGGAGAGGGCGGCGGAGGUCACGCAACAACUAUGCGCGGGCGCGGACGAGCACAAGAACGAGGGGGAAAGAGACGAACACAGUGCGCGGGCACUGUGCCGUUGGCCGGACCGUGCCCGUGCUCGCUUCGUCGAGCUUCAGCGUCGGCGAGCGGCAGGGUGGACUUAUGGGGGUCGAGACGAGGAUGGUGGCGAGGGGGGACACGCUCUGGCUGGUCGAGCAACGAGCACACGCUCCACAGAGGCGCUGGCGACACGCAGAGCGCGCGUUUGGCAUGCCAGCCCGCUCGGACGAACGCGGUCACCGCGUGGACCGUGACAUCAGGCCACCUAUGCACUAACCAUGAUGUCUGGCGUGUAGUCGUUAGUAAACUGAGGUGUUACCAUGGCUCGGUUUGGUUCCAGGUGCAGUAGAAGUAAAAUGGUGACGAGGUUAAGUUACUGGACAGAAACAUUGGGGAGUUACUGUUGUCCAACCACAGGGAUUCAAGGGCUGAGCUUUGGGGUUUUACUGACUCUUACUAAGGUGAAUAAGCUCAGGGAAAACCAGCUACAUUGGAGCUAGUAAAAAGGUAGUUGCUGUAGAAACUACCAUUUCAGCCUAGAAGUGAAAUUAUUUUCUAUAGCUAAAAUACUCCAAAGAGUGGUGAAAUAUUUUUACUCAAAAAUGUGCCCUAGGGUCCAAAGAAUAUUUGGGAUUUUUCUCAGGAUUUUUGGGGCAACAGAAAUGAGGGUUGCUUUGGAGGUCAAGGAGUUUAGCUAGGGUUUUAGAGGCAAAAUGAAUAUUUUUCAUUUAAGAAAAAUAUUCCAAGCAAUAUUGUUGGGUUGGCCAGGGGUGAAAUGAUGGAUUUGAGGAGGAGUGGGAACACUUGGGUGAAAAUCAAAGGAUACCCAAGUGGUCAAGUCCAAAUGGGAAGAUUCAAAACUCCAAAUCCAAAAUCAACUCAGCUGAAAAUCAAGCAAAGAAAAGAGGGCAAAAACCAAGUUGUGACAUAACCUUAUGCCCCCAAAAGUAUUUUAAUUUUCAACCUAUUUUGGGAUUCCAAUUUAUUCCCUAAACCUUAUGCCCAAACAAGGGUUUCAAUGUGGCCAUAGGGUUCUUGACCGUCUAGGUGAAUUCAAAAAAAGUCAACCAUAAAAAAAGCAAACAAGUCAACCAUGAAGAAAAAAAUGCAAUUCCCUCUAAAAAAUUUAACAUACCAGAUUUGGGAAAAAUCUGGGAUGUGACACUUUGGAAACUAUAUUGGAUGAACUUUUCCUCACAAAUCUCCUAGCCUGAUGCAAUGAUGUUGCAUUGAUCACACACAUGGACAAUAUAGCAUGAUCUGACAUAGAGCAUCCACAUUGUUUCCUUUUAGGUGAGAUGCACUAAUAGAAAUAUGUUACGAAAUGAAGGGGGGAGAUGAUCUUGGGGUGUGGGUGGACUAGGGUCGGCAGUUUCACUAUUUUAGGGAACCACACCCCUUUUCCCCAUUAAAACCACGCUUGUCGGGGGCUACAUUUACACCACACACACACACACACACACUCGCUCCUCUUUCCCACACCAGAUCUCCUCGCCCUCGAGUUUUCCGCCGGUUUGGCUCGCCGCCGCAGCGCCUUCGUCCGAAUCCAUCCACUCCCGCACUCAUACGAGGUACUAAUCACGGAUCCACCCACUCUUCUCCUCGUUGUCGCAAUCUUUGACGUGUUUGAUGUGCGUUGUUUUUAUGAUAGAUUUUUAUCGAAAUCGUGCGGAGUGGAUCUGGGAUAGAAGUGAUUUUAAGGGAGAAUACAAGUUCAUUUUCUGUCAGGUGGGGAGGAGCACUUUAAUUUUUGUUAUUAUGAUUCACCGAUUUCAUCUGUAUGCUCGUUGCAACAAGGAUUUUGGGGCCUAGGGUUUGGUCGGGGAGGGGUGGGGUGGGGUGGGAGGAUGCGGGAUCUGACCCGCAUGAUGAAAUUGUUGUCGACUGGGAAGCAGAGUGGCUUAGUCUUCAGGUUCUAGUCUUGUAAAGAUGUGUUUGCGAAUUAGUAGAGUUAGGGGAACAGGAGACAGGAGAUGAUGCAUGUUUGUGCGGUGGUUGGGGGAAGUGCUUGGGCGGGCGGACAUGUAUCUUGGUAUCAUCUACCAAUGAUUUCUAUCUGGACCCCCCCCCUUGGUGGUGAGUCACACUUUAAUUUUUGUUAUUAUGAUUCAUCGAUUUCAUCUGUGUGCUCGCCACGACAAGGAUUUUUGGGGCUAGGGUUUGGUCGGGGAGGGGUGGGGUGGGAGGAUGCGGGAUCUAACCCCACAUGAUGAAAUUGUUGUCGAUCAGGAAGCAGUGUGGUUUAGUCUUCAGGUUCUAGUCUUGUAAAGAUUUGUUUGCGAAUUAGUAGAGUCGGGGAAACAUGAGACACGAGAUGAUGCAUGUUUGUGCGGUGGUUGGAGGAAGUGCUUGGGCGAGCGGAAAUGCAUCUUGGUAUCAUCUAACCAUGGUUUCUAUCUAGACCCCCCCCCCCUUGAUGACCUCCUAUGAUUUUCAAAUCCUUCAAUCUUUUUUAUUUUCCUCUCGUUGAAGGGACAUAUAUAUGGUUUACAAGUUUCUUGAUCUCACAUGAUUGUUUCCUACUAACAUUAUCACAGGCGGUGAUAGUUGAUGGAAUAAAAAGACGGCAGAUUCUCAUCCACAAGACCAACACCAAAGGUAAUUAGUCUAUGCACACAACUACUUCAUCUGCAUGCUUUAUUCACAUGCCAUUGGCAAAUAUGUGACAUUAAAUUAAUUUCUAGUUCGCUUAUGUGUGUCCUAUUUUACAUAGAUUCCAUGGCAAUCUCCCUAGUACACCCCAACAAUUUUUAUUUGCUCCUGACUUUGUGACUACGCAUCAUAUAUGACAAGUUUUGUUAUCCACAUAUGGAUUUCUUGUUACCUAUGAGACACAUUUAACUUUUUUGUGGUAAUUUUUUGGUAUGAAACACAAUAUCAUUCUCUACAUAUGCAUGCAUAGCAACUUCUUCCUGAAUUUUUUGGUCAGACAAUUAAUAUCUCUCAAUUUUUUUGUAGUGUCCUUAUAUGGUAUUUUCUUCACAUUCUCCCCAUGUGUGCAUAUUGUACAUUUAUCUUGUGGCACUCCUUUGCAAAGGGGUUGUGCUUUUCUUUCUCUUGAGGUGUGGAUACACAUUGACAACUUUGUUGUUCAUAAAUGGAUUUACAUCUUUGUUUGGCGUGUGGCAAGUUUUGUUUACUUAACAUUAUAGGGCCAAGCUCCACAGCCAAACUUUUCUUUUAGGCCACAUGAUUUUGCUGAUUUUUCAUGAAUACCCUCUCUAAUUUUGCAUUUUCUUUCUCACUGGACAUCAUGUCAAAAACUUAGACAUUGGACAUCAAUGACUUGAAAUAAAUAUAUCUCAUGAACCUUUCGUUGUAUCCACAUGAAAAAACAAGCUUAUUUAUCAGAUGAUAAAGGCAGACACGGAGGUUGAUGGCUCUUUCAACAAUAUGCACGUAGUUCAUGGAAAUCUUUGCACAAUUAACAUCUCAACUUAUACUUAUAUUAUAGUAGUUCAUGCUCACAUGUCAUGGCAACUUUAGUAGGGCCAAGUACUGGUAGUAUCAACUUUUUUUGCCCAAGUCACAUGGGCUGCUUCAUGAUAGGGUUGUCUAGGGGUGCACUCCAUGUUAACUAUAUUAUUUUGCAAUUUAGAUGGCAACUUUCUCUUGUUUCUCUAUGCAAACAAUUUUUUCCUCAUCUUCGCCAUUUUUCACUAUUGGUCUAUGAAUGCCAGUGAACUACAUCUUCUUCUUGGGCAUAUACUACAUCUUCUUCUGGGGCAUAUAGGGAUUUAAGAUAUGGAAUGAUCUCAAUACAAAUCCUACUAGUUCUACCAAGGUACAUUAUUUGGUCUUAUGUUCUUAUCCAUUUCCUCUAAGUGCACCAUUCGACUAUGUGCCAUUUUGGAGUAUGACCCUGCGUGUUUUCUUUCCCAUCCUGGUAUUUGUGUUUUUGGAUAUUGUCUGCGCAACUGCGAAAAUAACCACGACACAUGGGAAUGCUCACACAUGUCAUGUGGCAGUUUUAUUUAGCAAAACAUGGCAAAUUAUCCUAGCACGUGCAUUACUGAUUGUUGUUAGAAUGGAGGGAAACCUAAUUGGCUUAUGUUGAUGGAAUUCUGACACAUACUUAUAUGCUAACAUUACACCACAAAACACAUGUCAACUUUAGAUAAUUAUAUGUCAACACUAGGUAUUAACACAUGAGAAUCAUUUGUUUCAUAGGUUCUCUAGGGAAAUUAGAGGGGGUGAAAACUUAUCACAUGUGGAUGGAAACACUAGACCAUGAUACACAUCAGUCUUUUCCAUACCUUUUUCAUUUGACCCCAUGUUUUUAUAUGGAGGGUAAUUAUAGGGAGGGUGGAAAAUUACCAUAACCUUAGAUGACAACUCCAAAGCACAAGCCAUAACAAUUUUCAUACAACAUUCAUGUUUCUUUUUUUACUUUGGAGGUAGUGGGAGGGGGGUUGGUGUUGAUGGAUAGUUGUAUCCCUGUGUCGCAUGUACCGCAUGGGACAUAUAUGCAUAGGGGCGUGUGGGUUCAAGGGACCCAUACAUGGGAGACCGACUUAAUGGAAGGUGCCUCCCCUGGUUUCCCAUAAAGGAAGUCAAGGCCUUUCAAAACUAGGGAGGAGUCCAAUUCUUGGGGACCAACAUCACUGCUGGGGGUGGGGGAGGGCACCGCCACAUUUCAAAUAUACAAGGUCGUCUGACACCACACAGAAGGACCAAGAUCUACACACAUUUUAAUCUGCCCAUAGAAGCCACAUCAAUCCAUGACAUCCUGUCUAGAUCGACCCCUAGAACUCGACAAGUUUCCUCCCAACUUUCCAAAACCCUCUCUAAAUCUCCGUUGUACUCUAUAUCAAGAUUAACCCCAUAUAAGCAUGAGUGGAGCUAUUAGCCCCCCUAGGGCAAGGGGGUUCACUCAAAUAACAUGUGUGUCAUGUACCGCAAAGAGGAACUAGGCGAAAUUAUCCUCGAAUAUUGCAUGUACCCUCUUCUAUUUUCUCUACAAGGAUCUCCCUAUGAUGACAGGGGANNNNNNNNNNNNNNNNNNNNNNNNNNNNNNNNNNNNNNNNNNNNNNNNNNNNNNNNNNNNNNNNNNNNNNNNNNNNNNNNNNNNNNNNNNNNNNNNNNNNNNNNNNNNNNNNNNNNNNNNNNNNNNNNNNNNNNNNNNNNNNNNNNNNNNNNNNNNNNNNNNNNNNNNNNNNNNNNNNNNNNNNNNNNNNNNNNNNNNNNNNNNNNNNNNNNNNNNNNNNNNNNNNNNNNNNNNNNNNNNNNNNNNNNNNNNNNNNNNNNNNNNNNNNNNNNGGGGGGGUAUUAUGGGGGGAAACGAUGUUGCUUCAUCAAUGGGGUAUUAGGAGAAGCUAUGGUGAUCUAUCAAUAUGUGAACCCGCAACACGUCAGAUCAGGGAGGGAGAGUGGGGUGGUGGUGGUUGGGGUGUUCUUCUGAAGGAGGAAGAAACUCGUCAUGAAGUCAGAAUGAACCUAGAGCUGGAUUUAGAUCUAGUGGCCCCGCACUCACGCUUGCAGGUUGAAGAGUCUGGUCACAAGACUUCUCUAUUGCCCGCUCAUGGCGUAGCUCGUGCCUUGUUCUAGUGUGAAUCAUUUCUGCCGCGCGUCGUUGCGCCAUGGGGACAACUAACCUACGUUUGUGCCAUAUUUGCGUCCAAUAACAUACCCGCUUGAAACAGAGCAACGAAAAUCAUAGGAAUUUUGUUGCCAUUUAAUCUGUUGAAUAAGAAAUGUUGUUCAAUUUGAGUUCUAACCUAAAACAUAGGAAUGCUAAAAGAUUACCAUUGGAUACUAUAUAAUGAAAUAUACAUGAAUUCAAGACACAAGGAAGACAAAACAUAAGGUAAGACCACAUGUCUGAUUUCCAGCAAAGUCCCUAGGGAUUGUCCAAUUCAUAAAAAAAUCCGAUGAAGCAUUUCUUUAUUCCAAAAGAUACCGUAGGAACUAUUUAUAUAGGUAUUUAGUUCUCCAAAUUCCUAACUUUUGCGCUUUUUACCAAACGAUGCCUAGAAGUAGGAUAGAAAAACAUUUUAACUGUUUACAAAAGUCAGUAUUACAUUCAUUUCAUGAAUAUCCAUCAUCAUAAAAAUGUGCCUAUUUAUAUUUUUUUUGCGAAAAAGCACACAUGUAUUAAGUAGCACAUGGCCCUACAAAAGCAUCCUUAAAGAAAAAAAAAACAAAUUCUUAAGGACGUCAAAGUCUUGUUCCUCAUGCAUCCAUCGACGGCGAGCCAUGAAAAUGAUCUAGUUGCCAGCUCUGGGCCUCCAUCUCACUGGAGCCAACUCGUUAAAACUCAUGACCUUGUAAAAGUAGUGACCGAGAAAUCGUCAAUGUAGACUAGAAGACGUCUGCGACCACAAUCCGCGUAGAAAAUUGCCGCACUUAAGAAGAUAACACCAAAGAGGACCCGUAGGACGUCCCAUGUUCGACCAUACAGAGUUGAGGAACACGAACCUCACAUGCUCCCCGACUAGGUCAAGACUGGACAACAUCAUCGGCCAGAGCUAAUGCCGGAGAACCAAGAUGUAUAACCACAUUAUCGGCUUCAUAGGACAAACGCCACCAAGAAAAUUUGCAAAAGAAAAAGGCACAUCACGAGAACUAGAUAUCGGCACACAUGAUCCUAAAUAAGCACAUUGGGGUUCCAUGAACUUCCAGCUAGCCAGCAUGCUGUAGGACAUUAUUCCUAAAUUGAAAUGGGCCGACGCCUCGCCGCCACAAACCAUGAGACUUGCUAAAGAAAACAGGAGACAAAUUGCCCAUGCCGCUGCAUGCCGGAUUUGGUGGGCCUGAUGUCGAGCUCAUUGUCACCCAGGACCAUGCACCGACGCCCUCUUCUCUGAUGACCCAGCCAGGUUAGCCCACUAUUUAAGAUUGUAACGCUGGAUCACCAACGCCGCCAUCGAGCAUCGUUCGUCGAAGACCGCACCUCGGCCAUCUCCGUCCCUGACCCACAACAACCCAUCAACUCCGCCCUAUCAGGCCCCUACAAUCAGCAACAUUUCCGGUACUACCAACACUGCAUGGACGAUGCAUCAUGAUAGCGGCGAGAGACGGAGAAGACGAGUGACAGCUAGGGGUUCAAACGUCCGCCUCGACCCUCCCCUACUAAGGGCAUCUCUAAUACUGACCUUCAGACCGUGCGGUCCGGACGUAUUGUGCCAUCCAGCGUAGGCCUGUAUGGGUCCACUGGGUGGUCUGGACGUAUUUUCCCGCAAACCGGAGACAAAUUAGGACGGGAGGGGGGGCUUUGCGGGCGUAUGGACCACUGCCACGUCCGUUCCUAACCGCUCUUACCACCUCUACCCCGCUUUUCAUCGAACGCUCGCCCCGCUUUCAUGCCGGCCCAUAGCAUGCAGCGGCCGCCAUUAAUGCCCACGAUUUGACCGGCCAGGAAGGCGGCGCAGACGGUCGCGACCUGUCGGGCGUUGCCGCUUCAAUACGGAAGCCCCGUCCCGAGAUACCAACUCCGACAACUGCGCCGCAUUGAAGCGGGCUGGCCGCCCCUUCCCCUAGCCUGGCCGUGACUAUUUAAGCCGUUCACCGGCGACGCAGAGUGCCGCAUUCGUCACCCCGGCAGGUGAAGCAUGAGCCGGCGUCCCCGCCGUGCAGCCGCGGCCUCCACAUCGGUGGCCGCGUGAAGAAGGAGCCGACGUCCCCACAACACCUCCUCCGUGUGAAGGAAGAGCCGGCGUCUCCCCCGCUGCACAGCCUCCAUGCGCGAACCGACGAGCCAUCGUCACCACCACGAUGCCACUGCCGCCUGAUAAAAGAGGAGCUGCCGCCCGCGAUCGCGAAGGCACGUGGCCGCAUCCUCCACUACCUUGGAGGAGGCAGUUCCGGCGGUGCCUCCGGCUCUCAGGCCAUGGUAUCCAAGGCGAAGCGCGCGGCGAGGCAGCAGGCGAGGUGCGACCGGCGCAAUGCCGGCCAUUGCUCCGCAUUCGUUAAGACGGACGUGGCGGCCAUGGACAGGGGGUCUCUCUGUCGGCGGACAAAUGCGGAACAAAAUUUACGGCUCGGCAUUGGAGAUGUGUAAGCGUUUUUUUCCUGUACAGAAGAUUGGUACGGCCGGCUCUGCAUGCCUUGUCUGUGGACACAAGUGCACUGUUAAACAGUCGCAGAUUUGCCACAGAGAACCGGCGACUGCGGGCAGGAGGUGAUAUCUCCUUCGAGGCACGUACCCUGCACGCGUCGACUUAUCCUCACCUGAACGCCCGGUCCUAUCUCGUCUUCUCUAAUCUCUACGGCGACACAGCUGACAUGCAUGACAUGUCCCUUUUCGUGAGCAGAUGUGUUAGCCAACUCUUUGAUCGUGUGGAACGAGAACCGGCCAUGCCAGUACGUAGUACAUCAGCCGCAGAAAGCGAGUCGCAAGGUGCGGAUAGCUUUUGCCAUUCUGUAGCUAAUCCACAUAUCUGCACCGAAGAGUACCCAAAGUUCCCCUGUUCCAACAAGCUUCAGGCCAAAGGUUCAGGCUGUAGGCGGCAGGUGCGUGGUUUGUCGUAUAAAUACUCUGGCAUCAAGUAGAUUCUGCAUGGACCUCCAGCUUUGGGCGCGCGUACUGGCGCCGCUCCGCAGCUGGCCAGCACGUAUGUACGGUGACCAAAAGGGCGACGGGAUAGGGAGGCAGCUGCGACUGUGUGGGCAGAAGAGCUGACAAAACCCGGGGCGGAAGUAAGCAAGCAGCAUGCAGGGGCACAGCUAGCUCGCUCGUAGCUACCCGUUCCGUUCCCCUACUAGCCUCGGAACUCGGAGCCCGUCUGGGAAGAAUAGCGAUGGCUCUGGAAAGCCCAACGUGCCGACGCGCCCGACACAGCCAACGCCAGGAGGCAUGCCGCGCUACGGCACACCCAGCGGCACCAUUUCCUUUCCUCACGUACGCACAUGCGUCUCCCCCUCUCUCUCCAGUUAGUAAGGAGGGAUGCUGCCUCCCGUUUCGCCACAGCUCCCUCCCCCCACGCAACUCUACUAUAAAGGUUUCAGCUGCAGGCGGUGGUGUCCGAAGCUGAUCUGCGCGGCGGUGCUGCCGCUCGCGGCCGGCGCUCCGGCGCUGGAGCGGGAGGAGGUACGUGCGUACUCAGGCGGGCCGCGCGCUCUUCGCUCUUGUUUCAUUCGGAGCCGUCAACUCUGCUCUCGUUCCACGCACGCGGAUUUUUUGAGCUCGGGUUCCUGGACACCUCUUAUCUUUACCCUCCAUUGUUGCUUUGAGAUCCGUACUACACAACUAACUUAGUAAAUGAAAUUUUCUUUUUUUUUUCUUCAAAACAAAACAACAUAUGAACUUCAAACUUUCCAGGACAACAAAACAUUCUUACUAGAAUGUGAGAUAAAACUUUCAGAUUUUUUGGUCCAACAAAAAUAUUGAAAAUGAGAUUUAUUUAAUUAAAAAAAUCCUAUUUUUAGUAUUUAUGAUGCAUCAAAAUCUGAAUUUUUUUUACACAUUCUUGUUAGAAUGUUUUGUUGCGCUGAAAAGUUUGAAGUUCAUAUGUUGAACUAUAUGAGAGAAACAAAAAAGAGAAAAUUUCUUCCACGAAACGUGAUGCAGAAUUGGAUGGCUAGAUAAGGGGGUGCCCAUGAGCCUAUGCUCCACAAUAUGUUUUCGCUCGUUCCACCAUGCCAUCUCCAGCGAUCGUAGCGGCUUCGGCAACUUAGCCCCUUUGUUUCACCGUCGUUUUAUGUUCGGGGUCGGAACGGCGGGGGGUGAUUCUUGUGUAGCACCAGCCGAGGGUGAUUCUUGUGUAGCACCAGCAGUAAAUAAAUCUUGAAUCGCCCUGGUUGCUGCUUAAGUGCUUAUUAUAUGCUGCGGCGAUCCGGUAUUCCGGUAGGCUGCCUUCUCAUCGGCUGAAUCCUUCGAAAUCGUGAAACCACAAGCCAGUCUGUGCUUGCCUGCACGCGCUGUACUAGUUAUAGCAGUUUUGCUUGGGGUGGCCAUCAGGGGCGGAACCAAAAAAUUUAGCCAAUGAGUUCAUUCACGAAUCAUCAGGAUUCACAUGAUUCAGUAUAAUUUUUUGGGGUAUGAAUUAACUAAGUGUAAAGUCCAAAUUCACACCGCAUUACAAUAAAAGUAUAGCACUAAAAGGCAGCAUGAUCAAUAGAAAUAUUUUAUCGCUUACCACAUAUAGUUGUCACAAUAAAAACUGAAAACGCAAUACAUACCGGUUGGAUGAAUUUAAAUAGAGCAGUGCCAAAAUAACUUCACAGCUUCAUGUACAACUUCUCGCAUUCCUGAAAAAAAUUGAAAAUAUAAAUUACUUCGACAAGUUCAAAAUAAGUUUCAUCUGCCAAAGUUAGUUGGUGGCCAGAAAGGUCCAUCGGUUAAAUAUCUUUGUCUAUCUCACCUUGGUUCUUAGAAUUUCUUGUGUGGUCUGAAAUUCUCUUCCGAUCAACACACAUAUCAUAAAACAAAUCAUCUAACUUAACUUUUAUCUGCAUAAAUGCUUUGAAAGCCAAGUUGCAUCAACAACAAUUUGAUGUACCUUGCUUACAUCUAGGAAUCGCCUUGAAGUGUGACCAUUUUCUGAAUCCGGUGAUCAAUUUUGCUUUGAGAAAUAUUCUCCCAAUGCCUAGAUCAAUCAGGGUCGAUGUUUUUUUUAGGAAAUUAGGGCAAUGGGCGUUACCACGCUAGGCUAGAUUGGACAUGCGUAAGAAGAAGAUUUGAUGAUUGAUCUCAUAUGGCUUGAAUUUGGAUUGGGAUGCGGAGACCACGGCCAGGAGUUGCCGAGUUGGGACUUGGGGGAGGCGAUUAAGUCGAUUUAGGAGGAGCCAGGGAGCGUACAUCUCUGAGAUUGGAAGCGAUCAGCAGAGUCAAUCCGGGCUACUCGCGUGGGCUUUUAGUCGGGCCAGUUACGUUAAAGCAUUUUAAAUGGACCAAAAGGCUUCUCGCUUGGGUUUUGUAGUUUUGAUGGGUGCAGCCUUGAUAUUUUACUGGGUUCAUACCCAAAAACUACAAACGUACUAGAAGAACACCCGUGCGUUGCAACGGGGCUACAUUAACUUUAAGAGUUCAAUAUCAAUUAUGUUAAUAUUACAUUUAAUAUUCUCAUACAUAUCAAGUGACAUUGACGACCUUUUUACCAUCAAAUUCUCACACACACUCUCUCCCUCCCUUCUCCUCACACUCUCUCCCCCUCUCCCUCUCUCUCUCUCUCUAACACACAUAUAUCCAUCUUAUUGGGUACGGGACCAUAAUCCAUCUAUUUCACACGCACACGCGCUAGUGCAUAACAAUAUGGAUUAUAAAACAGGUUCAAGGUAGUAACAAGGAUUCUUCUCAUGCAUUAAUAAACAAAUGUUCUGCACUGAAGACAAGAUAACCAAUUCCCAAAGUCCAUCAGAGCAUCACAGAACAUUACUGGCAAGAUAAAUGCACGACGAUACACCCGACUCAUUUAAUUAAUAUAAUUAAAUUAUCAGUAAAUUAGUCACCAAACUGCUCGGAUGAACCGGAACAGAGCCAACAUAUAUCAUCCUAGACAAACGCAACAUCAACCAUUUACCUUGGUACUUUAGGGACCGACAGGAGGAUGCAUGUAGAAGCGCUUCUUGCCUGCGAAUCCGCAGUUAGAGAGAGAAAUUGGAACCCAUUCCCAUCACCAACUGAUAAACAAAGCAUGUAAGAAAAUUGAUAUCGGGCCAACUUGGAUCUUCGGUGAUUGUCCGCCGGUAUGGAGAAUUUAGGGGGGUGGGUGCAGGGAGUGGCCUUGUGGAUGAUGGAUGGAGGCGCGGAGGGAUGUGGUCACCGGAAGGUCGAAAGCGGAGAGGGUCGGGCACGUUAGGUGGAGCCGGUGGUGCGCGACAACCGGAGGCGGCCCAACCGUGGGCGGCGAACCGACGAUAGCCUCGGCCCAUCUCUCGACGCAGCGAAGAUAGAGAGGGCGGCACUGCCGGUGCUCGAGGCCGCCGCUCGGCACCAUCUACAUCAAGGGGAAAGAGAGGCGAGAAAGCGAUAGGAUGAUGCGGGGCUAGGGAUUGUGGAGGAGGGUGGGGGUGUGCGAUUUGAAUGGAUGGUUCUGCCCACCGUUUUCUUGUACGUGGCGGUGGAGACGGCGGCGUCCAGCCAUGCAGGCGAGGCAUGGGUCGAGCCGGGCACACGGCGAGGCGCAGUAGCAGAGGCGGGGGCGAUUUUUUGCUACUGAGAUGCAGGGUGUGGGAUUGAUCGUUCAUGUUCUCUUUUCCUUUUUAACGGGAGAUGGAUGCGAUUUUUUCACGAGGGGAGAGAUGCGACCACGUACAGAUUCCAUAAUAAAUUAAUUAGGUCCAUAACGGGAUUUCUUUACAAUGCAUUAAGAUUUACGUGUUAGUUUUCUUAAUAAAGAAAUGCACAGAUGUAGGGAUCGAUUGAUUCGGAUAAGGAAAGAUAGAUUCGUGAUCUUUUGUAUGUUAGGAAAUUAGUGGUUUGCAAGGAAAGAGUGGAGAGAAAAAGAACCAAUACGACCACGUAUAGAUUCCAUAAUAAAUUAAUUAGGUCCAUAACGGGAUUUGUUUGCAAUGCGUUAAGAUUUACGUGUUAGUUUUCUUAAUAAAGAAAUGCACUGAUGUAGGGCGCGAUUGGUUCGGGUAAGGAAAGAUAGAUUCGUGAUCUUUUGUAUGUUAGAAAAUUAUUGGUUUGCAAGGAAAGAGUGAAGAGAAAAAGAACCAGUACGAGGGGGUGGUGGGAGGUGGGACGAAUAAAAACCGGACGAAAUUGGGAGGUGGGAGGGGGCGAGUAAAAACCGACAAAAAAACCAACGAAAUUGGGAGGUGCGAGAGAGGAUGAAAAAAAACCAGGGGAGGUGGGAGGAGGACAAAAAUAAACCAUACGAGGCUACCAACUGCUCCAUUAGGAGUAGAGAUUGUUUGUGAAAAUAACAUGCGACGACGACUUAGCGAGCGGAUCCCCUUAAAAAAGACAUAGCCAGCAGAUUCCCUUAAAACUGGUAGAAAUGGAUACGAUUGAUGACAUUGAUAAAUAGUGGUGAAUGUUAGCAUAAUUUACUAUCAUCAUGCAUGGAAACGAAUCAUCAAGAAAAAGAAUACUUCCUAUUACUACACUCAUAGGAAGCUUCCUAAUCUCUGCUACCAAACAGUUUCUGCCCAAACAAGAAAGGAAAGUUAUGGACGUGAUUCGAAAGAAAACAAACGUUAUGAAGAUUAAUUAAUUUAGAUUUGAUCUUUAGAGAUUGAUUGUGAUUGAUUCUUUUACAUAAAGACAUUACUAAAUAAUUUGCGUCAGUAUGGAAAGUUCUGAUCUGUUCAGUUUUUUUCGUUGUGUGAGAGGGUGAAGUGAAAAUAAACCGAUGAAGUGGGGGAGGCGACGAAAAAAAUCUACGACAGUUAACCUACGAAAAAAACCCGGACGAAAGUGGUGGGACGAAAAUUGACCGGCGAAGACUACCAACUGCUCCAUUAGGAGUAGAGAUUGGUUGGUUCGAUUUUUUUUGCGUGGAGGGAACUACCUGGGAGGUGGGAGGGAGUACGAAAAUAAACCGUCUCGGCUGAGCGGGAGGUGGGAGCAAGUACCAAAGAAGUACCAAAAAAGACCGGGUGAGGUGGGACGAAAAUAAAAUCCGGAACGCGACCUACCAACUGAGACAUUAGGAGUAGAGAUUAGGAGUAGAGAUAUUAACAAAAGUGCAGAUCCCGUCCCACUCUUCACUUUUUGACAAAAAACUUCCUAAUAGCAAUCUUGGUGAGUGAUCUCGACCGGGUUCGAUCGGCAUGGCGUGUCGUUCCUCCAGGAGUGGGUGCUGAGAGGAAGGAUGGCAAACCUCCAUUGUCAAUCGGCCGGAGCUGCAUCGUCAUUUGGAUCAGAGCAUGGACGAAAUCGAGAUGGUAGAGGUUGAGUAAUUUGUAGGACGUGAGGGUUUAGGGUGGGCAUCACGAGAACUCACCCAUAUCUUAGGAGACGGCAGACCCGAGGUGCAGUCGUGUUCGUGCUUCAGGGGCUGCCACGUGCUGUCCUUGCCGCCAUCGCCUGUCGAUGCCACUUCAGCGCCACGAGCAUGGGACUGAGGGACGAAGGGAAGAGAAGGGAAGGAAGCGAGCUAAUGACAUACCUAUGUUUGGUAUGUAAUACCCUCCAUUAAGAGUAGAUAUUUUCUUAAAAUCGGUUAUUUUGUUUCCUAAUUAAUGUGGUUGAGCAAUUUAAGGUAAGGUUAAUUAAUUUAGAUUUGAUAUUUAGAGAUUGAUCGUGAUUGAUUCUUUCACAUAAAGACAUUACUACAAAUAACUUGCACCGGCAUGGAAAGUUAUGAUCUGUUAAGAUUUUUUUCGUUGUGUGAGAGGGUGACGCGAAACUAAACCGGUGGGGUGGGGGAGGGACGAAAAAAAAACCAGCGAAAUAAAACAGGUGGGAGGUGGGAGGAAGUACCAAAGAAGUACCAAAAAAGACCGGAUGAGGUGGGACGAAAAUAAAAUCCGGAAUGCGACCUACCAACUGAAACAUUAGGAGUAGAGACUAGUACGUGGCAGGGAAAUUCGUUGGGUUCAACUGAACCCAACGGCUGUACUCUAGCUCCGUCCCACUGGCCAUUGUUGGUGUGAUGUGAGCUGAGCCAUUCUUCAUGGUAUGUCCUCAAGAACCGUCAGGUUGCCGCUGAAAGCGAGCCCAUGUCUUUUUCUUCAGACAGCGACAAGCCUUAUCUGUCGACUCUGUCUAAUUCUUCUUUUCCAUACCAUACCACCCUGUCUGAUUUUUCUUUUCCACACCAUCCUGGGGAGGAGGGCUCUAUCUGAUUUUGCUUUUCCAUGCCAUCAGGUCGACUCUUGUCUGAUUAAUAUCUGUCUUCCAUUUGAGUAAAGUCUGGUUAGUAUCUGUCAGUAUGACAUUUUUGUAGUGUUCAAAAAAAAAGUAUGACAUUUUUGUAGAACACGGAAGAGUCAGUAUGAGANNNNNNNNNNNNNNNNNNNNNNNNNNNNNNNNNNNNNNNNNNNNNNNNNNNNNNNNNNNNNNNNNNNNNNNNNNNNNNNNNNNNNNNNNNNNNNNNNNNNNNNNNNNNNNNNNNNNNNNNNNNNNNNNNNNNNNNNNNNNNNNNNNNNNNNNNNNNNNNNNNNNNNNNNNNNNNNNNNNNNNNNNNNNNNNNNNNNNNNNNNNNNNNNNNNNNNNNNNNNNNNNNNNNNNNNNNNNNNNNNNNNNNNNNNNNNNNNNNNNNNNNNNNNNNNNNNNNNNNNNNNNNNNNNNNNNNNNNNNNNNNNNNNNNNNNNNNNNNNNNNNNNNNNNNNNNNNNNNNNNNNNNNNNNNNNNNNNNNNNNNNNNNNNNNNNNNNNNNNNNNNNNNNNNNNNNNNNNNNNNNNNNNNNNNNNNNNNNNNNAUUGGUGUAUCCGUGGGCUUCUAACAGGCCCACUAGUGCACGACAAAUUCUGGGCCUAGAUUCCCUCUAGAUGGUCUAGGCCCAAAAAUAAAAGGUAGACAUGCAUUUUCACAUGCAUGCCUGACUUUCUCAGAAAAAAAAAGAUGGAUAACUGACUUUUUUUCUGCGUGUAGACUGACUUUACCUUUUGUCACCUAUCUAUUUUUCCAUUUUUGACAACACCACCUUUUGUCACCUCCCUGAAUUGAAGAGCACCGUACCGUAAGACUCCUUGUACUAAUCCAACCCCCGAACUAGAGACGGCGAUCUUGGCAGCAGUAGGCAGUAGCAAACGGUUUACUCAUAUCCUUGUCUCUCACGCUAACGCGCGUAAUGCUCAGUCGUCGGGCAGUGAGGCGUCUCGGCGGCGGCCGUCGUCGGCUAGCUAUUGAACAAAACUAGCACGCCCCUCGGGUUCGUCUCGUAUACCAGGCGUAACUCGCGGCCACGUUUGGCGCUUUGGCAGUACCCUAUUUGUGCAUUACGAUACGAAUUCUAUCUACUGUAUCUAUCUAUAUCUAUAGCUCACCUUUUUCAUCAAUGACGUGAAUUUAAUUGCUAUCCAGUGCUUUAAUUGAUGCUUAUCUCUUGCAUGCCGCAGGCUAUAAAUAGAGGGCGCGGUGCACAAGGCUGAACCACACACACCACAACCCACAAGCAAGAGAGUACGUAGAGCGAGACCACAGUGGUGAGGAGAGAUCGGAUGGCGUCGGAGAUGAGCAAUGACGUGAAGUUCUCUGAGGAAGAAGUCACCUCACACCCGCCCGUUCUCGAAGGUGAGGAGCAGACGGUGGUUGCGCCAGCGCAACAAUAUUCCAUCUUCGCGCUGACGCUGGACGAGCUGCAAUACUCGGUGUGCGAGGCGGGGCGCAACUUCGGGUCCAUGAACAUGGACGAAUUCAUGAGCAACAUAUGGAAUGCUGAGGAGUUCCAAGCGGCGACCGGCGGUGGCUUGGUGGGCAUGGAGAUGGCUCCUGUGGUGGGUGCUGGUGGAGGCGGAGGUGGCGGAGAUGCAGGAGGAAGCAACCUAGCCCGACAGGAGUCGUUCUCCUUGCCUCCCCCGCUGUGCGAAAAGAUGGUGGAGGAGGUGUGGGCUGAGAUCAAUAGGGAGCCCUGCCCGGUUCAUGCCCAGCCUCAGGCCGCGCAACCCUCACAGCAGCCUCCUGUCCAGCCAUCGGUUAAGGCCAACAACCGGCAGGGGACCCUAGGCGAGAUGACGCUGGAGCAGUUCCUUGUUAAGGCCGGCGUGGUCCGGGGAUCGGGUUCCGGCGGCCAGGCGCCGGUGCCGGUUGACAUGGUCCAUGGACAGAUGAACCCCGCGCAACAGGGGCAACAACCUGGCCCAAUGAUGUACCCAAUGGCACCAGCCAAUGGCAUGUUCCCGGUGAUGGGAGACGGCAUGGGGUUCAUCCCCAACGGGUACGCAGGGAUUGUUGUGGUGCGGCCACCACCACCUCCUCAAGGUGGGGUGGGUAUCGUGAGCCCCGGGUCGUCGGACGGGAGGAGCGCCAUGACGCAGGCUGACAUGAUGAACUGCAUGGGCGAUGGAGCGAUGAUGGAGAGUGGCGGCACCCGGA
rnacentral:lncRNA from 1 species